GCCACACACCUUAGAAAGUUGGUGGAAAAAUGAACUAGCAAAUGGUAGUUGUGCCGCAACACGAACUAAAUGCAUGACGAAAGGUGAGGCGUGGAAGCUAUGCCACGACAUGGUGACCUCUGGAAACAAACCAAAUAGGCCCUAGAUCUUUAGCAUCUUGAUGCAGGUUGGGGAUCCAAAUCUAACAUAGAAUAACUACCUACAACUAAGAUUAGAUCGAAACAAACAUGAGAAUGCAUCCAAAACCCCAAAUUAGAGUCAUCAUGUUCUAAUCAUUAGUGAUAGGUUAUAACUUAUAAGCCCACCAUGCCAUAGUUAAAGUUGCAUAGUGAUAGAAGUUAGUUGAUGCCCAUCACUACUGCACUAACAAGUGAUUGGCAAUAACUCAUCACUUUUGAGUCUAUCGCCUUUGUUGGAUUGAGAUGAAUGACUAGAAGGAGUUGCAUAGUGACAUGAGUUAGUUGAUGCCCAUCACUACUUGCCACCUUAGGUCUGGGUGUAGACAUGAUGAAGCUCCCUUUUUAGGUCUUGCCACCUUAGCUGCAUAGUGAAAUCACUGUUGAACUCAUUGUUCCACAUCCUUAUAAAGGGAUCAAUACUAUAUGUAAUGAUAAUGUGAGAUACAAGAAAGACAAAUUUGAACCAACAAAUUGGCUAUGUUAGAAAGAUCUGCCAAACCGUAGGAUACAACCGAACCAAUUGUUCCCCAGUGGAGUCGCCAAAAAGUAUGUUGAAGCGAAUUAGGUCACCGCACCUGUAAGAAGCUAGAUCACUCGGUAUAGAUACGGGCCAAAGAUUAGCCAAGCCAGCCCUCAAGUUGGCUUCUACAAUGUGCUCGUAGACAAACACUUUACCUAGUGCCUCUAGCGAUGAGUUUGUACACAAGACACAUCUGGAGGAGCCUCAUUGGGAGCGUGAUAUGCAAGGCAUGCUGAUGAUGUCUCAUAAAACCCCAAACCCCAAGCGGCUAUGGGUUGCGUUAGUCGGCCUGACCACUCUAAAGCUUCGUCAUCGUCAUUCCACCGGCCAUGCAGUGGCGAUGAAGAAUGAGGAGAGGUAGUAGAUGGGAAAGAGAGGGUUGUCGAUUGUGUAGUUGGAUUACAUCAUCGGCCGUGAUCCUCUAAUAUAUAUAGAGAGGGUGGUUUUCAUUAUCGCAGUAGGAAACCUGAGCCAAAUGAAGCCUACAAGUUUCCAUAGACAUUGAGCAAGUUUAGAUAAAACUCAAUCUAGACUGGAUUUAGGGUAGAAAACCUUCUAAAAAUCAUGAUUAAUCCAUUCAUGCUCCAAAUGAGGUGAUCCAUAUAUGUUUUUCGAUCAAAUGGACGAGAGGAGUACAAUGGUGCAAUUUAUUAAUCAAUUUGGAGAAGUUUGACAAUCCGUACUGACCAGUUUUGAAAACAGGCCAAACCGGUUUCUGUCAACAUCGGUCUCACUAUUUUUAAUUACUCUUCUGCCAACACAACACAGCCUCUGAAUAUGUACGCUCCUUUUUGGAACAAAAGUAUUGAUUCCCAGUGUGACAUUCUAUGCAAGUAAGAAAGAAAACAAACCGUGAAAAUAUUGGCCAUGUAUAUAUGUAUGUGCAUUGCAUGGUCUCGUACGGUUGUCAAAUGGAUACUUUCUCAUCAUUAAUCCUACAUCUGGCCUGCAGUAAUAGAAGGUUAUUGGGUGGGAGUGGGACAAGGGGUACAGACUACAGAGAACAUAUGCAGAAUUUUUUUGACGGUCAACAUAUGCAGAUUGCCAUUGGUUACCUCCCAAAUCAUCAUUUUAAACGGAGAUGUGGGCCGGGAAAAGACCAAAGACUACACUACAACAAGAACUUCUAACGGCCUCGCUUCGCUUGAUUUUAUUAAUCGACCCACAUGCUCGCUCUCAGCAGCCGGCAACAUGUUCUUCCUCAUGGGAAACAUAUAUUGCCAUCUCUGCGAAAGAAACAAUGCCGGAUCGGAGAUAUCCUAGCUAGCUCCGCUCUAAGACGACGACAGCCCGAGGAGGAAACAAGGAUCAUAGAACGGCAGAAUUGUACAAGGGCGUACAGCUAGCUGCAAGAAGCCUUCGUUUGCACUCGAAACAUAGCCAUUGAAGAAUCCAAAACUGCAAUUUCAGAAAGCUUCUCAGGUCCUUGAUCAGGGGCUUUAUAUAAACCCAUGCCAAGUGAACUGUAAAUCUUGCACAGCCAUACAUUUCACCGUACGUAAAGAUGAGGAGCAACAAUGCUUCUUCUCUCUUGUACGUUUUGCUCAUCAUCUGCGCCGCUGCACUGCACUCAGAUGCGUCCCAGCAAGAGGAGCAACUGAGAAAAUUCAUCAGGUCUAGGAGGGACAGUCGUAGCAAUAAGAACACGUUUAGGGUAAACAAGUUAGGAAACAGGGUUGCCAGUAGCCUCCUGAGCACAAGCUACUCCGACAGCGAACAGAGCGCCCUGAAGGCAGCUGACAAGAUCACUGCGCUGCCGGGGCAGCCAGACGGCGUCGGCUUCGACCAGUACAGCGGGUACGUGACUGUCGACGAGAAGAAUGGCCGAGCGCUCUUCUACUACUUCGUGGAGGCGCCGCAGGAUGCCUCGACGAAGCCGCUCCUCCUGUGGCUUAACGGAGGUUAGGAAGAUAAUAUAUAUACAUAUGCAUAUCUUUUCUCUGAUUUGUGGUAGAGCAGUUGCACUGAGUUUGAACCUAGUACUACUAGUUCUGGACUUCUGUCAGUAUGUGUUAAUGCGUGUGUUUGUUGCAUGCUAAUGCAAAUUAACCGUCCACAGGGCCAGGAUGCUCGUCGUUUGGCAUCGGAGCAAUGCAAGAACUCAUCGGCCCGUUCCGUGUAAACAAUGACAACAAAACGCUGAGUAGAAACAAGAAUGCUUGGAAUAAUGGUAUGCAUUAUCUUUGUUUAAGUUCGAAAGUCAUUGACAAUUCAUAUGGAACUCUAAUAAUGGGAUAAACAAAAACCGGUAUGUAGUGGCUAAUGUGAUCUUCUUGGAAUCGCCGGCGGGUGUUGGAUUCUCUUACUCCAACACAUCCUCGGACUACGACCUCAGUGGAGACCAAAGGACAGCUGAUGAUGCGUAUUUGUUUUUGAUUAAUUGGCUGGAGCGUUUCCCUGAAUACAAAAGCCGUCCGUUCUACAUCUCCGGGGAGAGCUACGCCGGACAUUAUGUGCCUGAACUUGCUGCCACCAUCCUAAUUCAGAAUUCCUACAACAGCAAGACGGUCAUAAACCUUCGGGGCAUCUUGGUAGUUGGUACCACCUGAUCUAUUUUUUUCUUUGUUUGUUAUUAAAGCAGCACUACAGCAGGUUAUAAUCAACUUUACAAUAAUAGUCAAAUUGUCCAUAAUGGGUAUAUAUCCUUUUAAUUUCCUUCAAGGUUGGCAACCCACUUCUGGAUUUGAAUAUGAACUUCAAGGGUGUAGUUGACUACUACUGGAGCGUGGAGCCAUGGGUUGAUGUCAGACGAGGUAUUUGCCAACAUAACCAGGCACUGCCAUUUUGACAAUUCAGAUUCAGAUGGUGUGGAAUGCAAUGGCGCUCUGAAUGGGGUCGAUCCUGGACAUAUUGAUGGUUACAACAUAUAUGCUCCAAUCUGUGUUGAUGCGGCCAAUGGAGCAUACUACCCCAGUGGCUACGUAAGGCAAACGAUUCAUAAUGUUUUGGCUUCACUUCUUAUUAAAUUUGGUUCCGCUAAAAUUGUGUUCUAGAUCACUAACCUUACGUUUUCCACAUAUUACUACGACAGUUACCUGGUGGGUAUGAUCCAUGCAGCUACCAUUACACCAAUUCCUACCUCAAUGACCCAGCAGUGCAGAAUGCUUUCCAUGCUAGAAUGACAAGUUGGUCAGGAUGCGCGUAAGAUCUUUUGAUUGGACCCAUCAGGCUAAUGUUAGACUAGUGAGCUGCCUAAUUACAAACUGUCUUAUUUCACCUCAAACUCGUGUGGUUGUUGCAGAUACUUGAACUGGACAGAUUCUCCGAUUUCCAUGGUGCCAACAAUCUCAUGGCUAGUUCAGAAUAAGUUACCUGUCUGGGUUUUUAGGUAAUUUAUUAGCGGUGACUUUUCAGUUGCAACAAAUUAAACUAUCCAAAGCACAUAUAGUAAUAGUAUAUGUAUCAUACAAAUGAAAAUAAUGCCAUUAUGAAAAAUUUUCAGUGGCGAUUUCGAUUCUGUAUGCCCACUUCCCACAACGAGGUAUUCCAUCCAUGAUCUUAACCUUCGCAUCACAACUCCAUGGCGUCCGUGGACAGUAAACAUGGAGGUAAAUUCUAUACAUGCCAAAGUAAUAUUUAUAACAUCAUCUAUUUGCUGCAAAUAGUUUGUAUUCCUUAUGUUCCAAAUAAUAAUUAUAAUUUACUUUAAAUUAAUUUGAUAAAUUCAUAAGUAACGAGUGGAUUUAUAUCUAAAUUACCCACAUCUAUCAUAUAACCCCCGUGACUUUGCAUCAAAAUGACCCACUUCUGAUAAUUUAAAAUAAAUGCUUAAUUUCAUAUCUAAAUUAUCAACAUCUAUCAUUAACAAAGACAAUUCAAAGUAACCCCUAAAUUUACAUCUAAAGCACCCACAUCUGCCAUAAUGAAAAUAAUAUAAAGUAACACCUUCAGUUUGUAUUUAAAUUGCCCAUUUCUAUCAUUUUAAAAAAUGAACCAUAAUCUAUACCUCAAACCGAUCUUGAGCACUUCAUGCAUGUUUAAAUUGACGUACCAUCAUAGUACUUAAGACUUAAUAGUGCAAUCUACAAUCUAAAAUUUUUAUUUUUUAAUAAAAUACAAGAUGAGAGUUGAUAAAAGAUAUAGUAGUAAACACAAAAUUUCAACUUAAAUUGAUGAUAAAAAUUAUAGCAACUAAUAAAUUCAAAAAUUUUAAAUCUAAAUCUAAAUUCAUGGUGGCGCCAUGAGACAUGGCCACAUGGGCUUCAAUAAGAUCCACCAUAACUUAAGCUAGGGUUUUAAAUAAAUGCAUAUUAAAGGUACAUGAAGUUGCCAUGCGGAGGGGGAGAGUAUGUACAGAUAAUAAGUUAAACAAAUGAAUAGACAUUACCGAGUAUUUAUAUCUGUGUUGCAUCCAAAAAUGAGAAAGAAAAAACAUGCAAGUUAAUAUAAAUAUAUUUUAUUAGCUGUAGGUAUUAAACAUAAGCAUCUAAUAAAUAUGUCUUCUAUGGUUCUAGCCCAUGCAGGAGCAUGGGUUAAUGGACUAGUAAGAUAUAUAUUUGUUUCCUAUGGAACUCUUGUGUGCAUCUUUCUCUAGAAUCAAGUCUUAAAUAUAGGGAUGAAAAUAGAUCGAAUAGGGAUGGAUAUCACUAGUAUUACAUUAAUUUUUAUAUUUUUGGUCGAAUAUGGAUUGGAAUACAGAUAGUGUCAGUCAUACUAGAUAGAAUACUAUUAGAUUUCAACAUCAUAAAUAUAUGAUUUAAGUAUUUGGUUACGGAUACAGUAUUGGAUGUUGAAUAUCCGGACUCAGAUACGGACAGAUCUGAACCCCUCUAAACGGAUUCGGUCUCGAAUACGAUCGGAAACUAUCUGUACCGUUUUCAUCCCUACUUACAUAUAUACAAGUUUGUAAUAAGCUUGGCUUAUGAAUAUUGAUAACUGUGCUUACAGGUUGGAGGAUAUGUUCAACAAUACAAGGGAGGAUUCACAUUUGUCUCUGUCAGAGGAGCUGGUCACAUGGUUCCGUCCUCCCAGCCCGAGAGAGCAUUAGUAUUAUUAGACUCCUUUUUCAAAGGGGUACUGCCACCGUACGUAAUGGUGCAGUAAUUCCUUAAAUGAAAUAUAUGAACCAUGGCAAACUCAAUAAACAGGAGCAAAACUUUUGAGACAAUAUAAUAAUUUUCAUUUAGUAUAACUUUGAUUGAUGUUGGUUUUAUAUUAUAUGGUAUGUGGUUCUUAUAACUAAAGGUUCAUGUUUUCCCUUAGUGGACAUGGAUUUUUCGGUCUUUGUGAAGUGACAACAGUAUUGUGCACAAAGAUUGUGUCUUGUGCAUGUGAGAGAGUGCACUCUAGCAGUCUGGACUCUGUUAUCCUAUUUUUCUAUAAAGCUACGCAACCUUCUAUUAUCUAAUGUAAUAACCAUGAGUAUGGUUCUCUUUAGGUUUCAACACUAUAUUUGUUUGGAUUAUUGGUGAUGUUUUUCUAGAGUUCUUUCUAGAGUGUUUGGUUUUGUGGAUCAAACCAUUCUAGAUGAAAUAAAGCAUCAUGAGUCUACCACUUAUUUUAAUGAAAUGACUUCGUUCCUAGUACUAGUACUAAUUAUUAUCUUUAUGAGGAAUGAGGUGAUAUAGAUCAACUCAUUCCGUAAAACAAACAAAACAAAUGAGUAAAGUGAUAAUAGGCUACCUCAUUUCACGCACCAAACACCGCCCUAGCCACUCGAUCGACCCUACCCAAGACUUGUGGAAAUAAACUGCUUUAAGAGAUAAAACAAUCCUCCUAUAGAAAUUGUUUUUCAUUCAUAGUUCACUUACAAACUAAAACAAACUAGAGACUCUUUUACCCCUUCUAUGAUAGUUCGAGUAUAUUAUGGGCGUCUAAUUUUCAACUAUUUACAUUGCCAUACAACAUCAAACUACAUAAAUAAGAUUAUUACAAUGGUUUGGAUACAAGCCCUUGUUGCUAAAAUCAAACAAAAACACUGAUGUUCUAUUCGUAGGAGCGAAGCUUGGCGAAUCUUCAAUCCACAGGCAUCCUUGAGUGCAAACGUGAACCGACCUACUAAUUUCAACAUCAUUACAAGUCCUAGAAUAUCCACACCACCAGAUAUGUGUAGUCCAUGGUCAACACCAAUGAGAUUUAGGGGAAAUAGAAAAUUAACUAGAGGCAUGUAUGGUCUACAUGAAGGUUUGUGACAGACGAUUCAUCUGCCACACCUUAGAAAGUUGGUGGAAACAAAAAUGAACUAGGGGAUAGUAGUUGUGUCGUGGUGCGCUAAAUGAAAUGCAUGACAAAUGGUGUGGCAUGGGAGCUAUGCCGCGGCAUGGUGACCUUUGACGACAACAAACCAAACAGACCCUCUUUAGCAUAUAUAUGUAGAUCCAAAUCUAACAUAAACAUAAUUCCCUACAACUAAGAUUUGAUUGAGACACAUAAAAAACGCAUCUCAAACCCCAAAUAGGAGCAUUACUAGUAUUAGUGAUAACUUAUAACUUAUAAGCCUCACCAUGCCAUAGGUAAAGCUGCAUAAUGACAGGACUUAGUUGAUGCCCAUGCAUUAACAAAUAACAAGUGAUUGGCAAUUAACUCAUCAUUUUUUAGUCAAACACCUUUGUAGGAUUGAGAUGGCCGACUAAAGGGAGCUCCAUAGUGAUAGGAGUUAGUUGAUACCCAUGGUAUACAUCCGGACAAAUUGGCUUCAAUAGAAAGAAAGAUCAGCCAGACUAAAGUCACCCAAAAGUAUGUUGACGUGAAUUAGGUCAUCACACUGGUAAGGAGCUAGAUCGCUCGAUAUAGGUGGGCCAAAGAUUAGCUAAGCCAGCCCUCAAGUCGGUUGAUGCCUAUAGUGUGCUCACACACAAAUACUUUAUCUAGUGCCUCUAGUGAUGAGCGUAAUACACAAGACAUAGCCAGAGAAGCCUUGUCAGGAGCAGGAUACACAAGACAUGCCAACGAAGUCUCUUGAAACCCUAAACCCCAUGUGCCCUAGAGGGAACUCAUCGGAGCGUGCGAUGGCUAUGGGCUGCCCUAGCCGGCUUGAUCGCUCUAGAGCUUCAUCGUCAUUGAUCCACAAACCAUGCAAUAGUGAUGAAGAACGAGGAGAGGUAGUAGAUGCAGUGGCGAAGCCACGUAUAAGAUGGUGGAUGCGGAUGCACCCACUAAAAUUUUAAAUAUCAAUGAAUAGGGUUAAAAUUCCACCAUGAUUAUGAUUCAAAUCUAUAUAUCUACAAGGCAGCCGCACCCCCCUCGAAUUUGCUCUAGCUUCGCCACUGAGUAUGUAGAUGGGAAAAAGGGUAAAAGAAAGGUAGUAGAUUGAUUUUGUUGAUUGUGUCCUCAAUCGAUUAUUGUGAUGUUCUAAUAAAUAAAUUGGUGGUAUUACUCUAGUAGAAAACCUUUCUUAAACGAAAUAUACAAGUUUUUCACGACUAUAUGAGUUUACAUAAAGUAAAACUCAAUCUAGACCAAAAAAAAUGGUCAGGCCGGUUUCCAAAACCAUCCUGGCUGGUUUUUACACGUAGAAAACCUUCCGAAAAUCCUAACUAAUUCAUCUAGGCUCCAAAACACAGGUUAUCCAUAUAUGUUGUUCGAUCAGCACACCAAGAGGAGUUCAAUGGUGCAAUCCAUUACUCAAUUUGGAGAAGUUAAAAAAUAUGGCCUAGCCAGUUUUGGAAACCGACCAAACCGGUUUCUAUUGGGUCAGCCCCUUGAAAACUUGCGUUCUUCAUCUGAUCUCCAAAUUAGAUGAUCCACAUAUAUGUUUUUUUUGUUCGAUGAGAGCCCAUUAUGCCUUUUGACAAAGAGUAGGUUAGAACUUCCUAUGUACAUCGGAACUUCUCGAAACUUCUGAUGUAGAGGUGAGCUUAAGUUUGCAAAUGAUUAGAGGAUUUACAGAUGAUUAGAGGAUGCUCCCGUUCCAAACUUCCUUCCUUCCGUUGCUUCAUGGCGUUUUUGCAACAUUUUAUUAGAGAAGUUUGAUUUAUGGUAAGAUCAUUAUGAAGGAUUAGUAGACAGCACUCAGGUUCUCAAAAAUGUACUUUUUUAUCUAAAAAGCAAAAGGAAGCAUAAUGUAAUUAUCUAUUUCCCUUUGUUUUUUUUCUUUGGGGAGAGUUAUUUUAUUUAUAUUAUACAUAUAUGCGUGGCCUCUCAAAAUACGUUCACCCAAAUCAGACAGGCUGGCAGCACGAGCCCAAAGCAAGCAGCUACGCUGAUUCUGAACGCCACUCUCCCUCUGUCCUUCCUCAGCAGCAUCGCUUCGUAUACUGGGACGUUGACGGCCGCCAGCGCUCCACAGAGCACAAUCUGAAGGCAAAACUCGCUCAGGCAGCUCGCGCUGCCGCAGCCACUCGCCAGGACGCGGCUCAGCCCGCCGGCCAGGCACACGAGGCUGAGCAACGCGGUCGCCGCGACGAUCACGAGCUCGGGGGACGAAGUCGACGAGGCCCCAAACUCCAUGAGCUCUUGCUCGUAUCUCCUCGACUGGUCUUCAUCAUCACUUACUUUUGGGGUGACUGCGAACGCCAUGGCCGAUAGUCCGAGCAGCCUCGAGACGGUGUCGACCAUGGCGAAGAGGUAGGACGUCGUCCGUCUGAUGAUCCACAUCCUCUGCCCGUUCCACCACCCUCUCAGCGUGACCCCGGAGCUCAGUGCCUCGUAGAGGCUGUACAUGUACGUCGCCGCUGACACGUAGACGAACGGGAUGCUCCAUGGACUUGUAAUCUGGAAUGACAUCGUCAUCAGUGAGCAUCAGAACAAAAUUAAGCUUGAGGAGGCAAACUAAUUAAGCAUCAGAAUCACCGUACCUCCGGGAAUACAGGGAUGCCCUUGAGGAGGCCAAGUGAUGGGACGAUGGCGUAGUACAGCGUAGGCAACGAGCUUGGAGCCCAUAGACCGUAGAUGCAGUAAGCGAGCUGCAGUGGCAGCUGGAUCUUUCCAUGCCCAAACAGCACCGAGCAGUACCGCGACAGCAGAAUGGAGAAGUUGCCCUCGCCGAACCUCCUGUGCUGCAGCAGCGUCUGAGCAAGCGUCGUCGGAGCGAGGCCCAGGAACGCCUUCCUCUGCGGGUUGAAAUAGACCGACGCCCACCCUCUGCACUGGAUCGCCAACCCGGUGACGACGUCCUCCACCGGGCAACCGUAUUUUACGCCCACCUCACGCCCCCACUGCGUGUUGCCUGCCUCGUAGGCGCAGGUCGCUACAGACUUGGCUUGCUCUUGGAUCUCGUCGAUGUUUUGUUGUUGAGGUUUUGCUGCUGUGAUCCCUGUGUCGUCCCAGUCUUGCUUGUAAUCUUCAGUGAAGCUUCUUCCACAGAGGACUUCCCUUCUGUGGAAGCAUCCAGUACCGAUAUACGCAGGGCCGCCCACACCGUCCAUUCCACAUAGCUCUACCUUCAGAUUUUUGACAGUGAAAUGAUGUACUUCAGUUUGUACAUAUGUCAAGGUUCAGAAGUCAUGUCGUAGUUGUAGGUAACUUUAAAAUUGCAUGCAUGUAACUUGUUUGGGUACACUGACCUCGUUGAUGACAUUGAGGGAGUUACCAUAUAUGUCGUUCUUGGUCAAGUUGGUGUAGUUCUGAGGGUACUGCACAAACCCAACCUUGUGGCCCAUUUCUUCAUCCAUGAAGAAACACAGUGCAUCUCUGAUCGAAUCGCUGUUGUUGGAGUAGACAUCGCAGUCCACGUUCAGGAUGAUAGGGCUGUUGCUUAUCACCGAUGACACCCUUAUCUGAAUUUCAGUAGAACAUAUAUAGAAAUGUUCAGUGGUGAGAAGAUCAGGAUGACAGUUAUACUCUUCAUCACGUUAUGUCUGGACUGGAUUGGUAUAUAUAUUGAUGUCUGUUAGCCUUAAUAUUAUAUAUUAAGAUGGCAGUUGUGCUUAUUUUAAGGACUAGGAUAGUAUUAUUGGUAGCUAUAUAUCUUUUUUGAGGAAAGGGUAGCUAUAUAUCUUGGUACUAUAGACGAUACGAAACAUAUACUGAUCGGGUGUUCAUGAUAAUUAAAAAUGUGAAGCGCAUGCAUUCCGGAGUAAAAGACUGAUGACGUGAGUGCACCAGAGCGUUCAUCGCCCCAGCCUUGAAGUUAUGGUGAUAGUGAGGCCUCUUCUCGCGCGCCAUGUACACCAAUGUGGGUAGCAUGCUUCCUCCGUUGUCAACUACGCUCCGAUCCUUCCCAUCAAUCAAAACCUAUCAGGGAUUCAAAUGUUAGGCUCGGCCGGAGUGCAUCUCAUGAGUCAUGACACCAAAAAAAAAGUAUAUUAGAUGUUGGUGACUCAAAAGUUAAGAGUCUUUAUUUUUGUAAUAAUGAGUUUUUUUGGAACAGAAAGAACACAACCUAUAUAUAGGCUAGAACUACCAGCAGGCUUGACAAAAUAUGAAAAUAGACCACCUGAACAAUCGGCUGGUGAUUUAGCGAGGUAACUUCUGAAGAAUCCCACUCGUAAAAUCCCCUAUGCAUUGCUUUGAUUUCUUCAGGAACCUUGGCCAGCAUGACCGCAGAGUCGAUGCGCUCGGUCAUUUCCAUGUACGACUCCUGCAUGCUCAUCGACAAAGAACACAUGGAUCAGUAGAGUGUCGAUGCAGCAGCCCCCAGUCCCUCACGAAUGAUUAGCUAGCUCCAUCAAUUACUCCAACGUACUGCUAGAAUUCAGUGCUGCAGCAAAUGCACUACUGCACGUACAGCCGCCAUUACUGCAAACCGGCCGGCCUCUGCCUGCCUGCUGUCAUGCUGUGGGAAGGAACAACGACCGAUCUCCAGAUGAAAUGAAAUGAAAGCAUGCGUAUUUAUACUCCUAGUAUUUAUUUACCUUGACUAGUGACCAUUCUUGGUCGUCGCUGCACAACAACGACGCACCAGCACGAAGCUUAUCAUCGUCGGUCUCCGAGAAGUAUGCGGCCGGUGACCUCGGCUCGACGCUGUGUCUCCUGCAGAAGGGCAGCCAGAGCUUGGCGAACCGGGACGCCUCCCACAGAGCGUAGAACGUGAGGGCCGAGCAGCCGUCGUCGGAGAGGUAGACGCUCAGCUUGUCAGCCGGGUAGCUGUACGCCAUGACCGAGAGCACCGCGGAGACUACCAAGAUUGGCGGCUCCGACCGCGGGUCCGCGGUGCAGACGAAGAUGUCCACGCAAGGGACCUUGUCGCCGUGCCUGCUAGGUAGCCAUGCCCAUGCAGGUAGCUACAUUACGUUAGAGAACCUAGCUAGUAGCAACAAUAUGUCAUUUAAUUUAUAUGAACUCCUUGAGCAACCACACGGAAAUUGAACUAUUCGGAUGUCCCUUUUAUGCUUUCAGUCAAAAGUCAAAACAAACACUGUCCAUGUCAAACAAGGCAAUUCAUUUAUAUAUGAGGAAAUCUUCUUUAAUUUGUGUAUCAUUUGAGACGAAGGACCACAUUUUUAAAUGGGAGCCGGAAGUAGGUCGGCAAUUAUUAGGAGGCGUACCUAUUCGCUUGAACUUAUCUAGCUCUCGCAACAAAUUAUUAUCAGCAGCAUCAGUCGCUUUUACGGCCAGCCAAACACAGAUGCAGCAGGUUAUUUUCCUACCAUCCAUAGUGCAUUUUAGUUAUUUUAGUCGUAAAAGGCCAGCCUUGGUGAAAGUUUUAUGAGAGUUUCAAGCUGACAGAGCAUAAUAUAGAUGAAGAGAGAUGGUAAAACUUUCAGGGCUAUCAUAAUACUAGAAAUCACAAGUAGUUUCUAUCGCUAUUAAUUUACAUAAGCAUUAUACAUAGAAGUUAUGUUUUUAGUGAGUAGUUUCAACAAAAUAAUACAAUCAUAUCUUUUGUCCCUCAUUUAUCUUUCACAACUCUUUAUGUCUUGGUUCUCAUAUAGACAUAGUUUCUUAUUAAGAAAUUAUUCUCUCUCUCUCUCUUAAUUACAGUGUCACGUCAUCUUUUUUGCAUAGUUAAUUUAUGGGAGUUUCAUCCUCCUUGGUGGGAGUUUCACGAGAGUUUUAUAACAUUAAAUAAGCUGACAUGGCGUAGUAUAGAUAAGAGGAAGAUGAUAAAAGUUUCAUGGAACGAAAUGAGUUUCAUGUGGAUAAAACUUAUCUACAUUUUUUUAACGCAUGGGUCUCUUGGAAACAAUGACAUCAAACCCCUACUAAGACUAGCCAAAUAUGUCGAAGGACUUUGUGUAUUGUAUAGGAACAAGUAACAUAAAGGUUCAGAGCUAGCUGUUUCCAUGGGUGGUUGAUGUUUUCAACCAUCCUUAUAAAUCAAUCUCUAGGGAUUCUCUGUUAGUUGAAGCCCUCUAAAUGCAUAUGUAGAGGUAACUUUUGAUCCAACUGCCUCUUAAAAGGUCAGACGGUCAAUAUAUCUAGGUUUUCGUGUUUGAUGGUACAAGUGGUUGUAACUAAUGUAUAUUUUGCAGCAAACAAUCACAUGUGAGUUAGUAACAACUGAAUUUCCACAAGUGUCAGACUUGUUUGAUGGAUAUCGAAUGGUGCAAAGGACGUUCGUGAAGACUAACAGAGACAUUCGUUCUAAUAUAUGUUAUUAGGGUAUUGUUUUUUCUUUAGUCAUAUAACUAAGGGGGGCUCCAAGGCACUCAUCAUGAGUGAGUUCGAGCGAGAGCAUUUCAAUGCACAGGAGUCUUAACUCUUAAUCAAGUUCGAGGCAUUAAGUGAUCUCAUUGAAUUAGUUUUAAGUUAAGGAUCUUAAAUAAGUUGAAUUGGUCAAGAUCAGACUCAAAAUAGGCUUAAAACACAUUGGAAUGUGCACCGAACGAUUAUGGUGAUACCCAACAGAUCAUCCGGUGGAACUAUACUCGAGGCAGUAAUGACUUAUCCUUAGUAACUUAGUGGUCACCGGAUGAUCUGGUAUGUCUUUGUGACACCCGACAUGUCAUUCAAUGAGGCUUAGCCCUUUGGUUGGUGCACAAGUGGCCAUCCCAUUGAUGUGCAUCGUGUGAUCUGAUGUUAAUUGUGUGACACCUUAGCGGAUCCUCCGGUGAAGCCUAACUUGACUUUGGUGGCAAGUAAUCCAGUUAAUUGGAUUAUGACGUGUGAUCUAUGUGACUGUCUCAUUCCAAAUGGAUCAUCCAUUGGGACAAGCUUGAUGUUGUGACAUGUUGAUGAACUGUCGAACUAUGUCAUUGUCGUAUGAUCUAGUGGAGACUUUGUGACUCCUAGCGUAUCAUCUAGUGGACAAUAUUCCAACACAACAUCACAGUAUGAUAUGGUGUAGGCAGAGGAGGCUAAUGGAUCAUUCGGUGGUGUGUUUGGGUCUAUCUUGUGUUUUCAACUCCUUCACCCUCUAUAAUUAAGGAAUUGUCUCUCUCAGUGAUUGUCAUCACAUAACGACUCAGUGGAGGACUUGGUGACCUUUCUUGGUAAAGUUCUUGUUGAGAGGGCUCAAAAAGGUGUGCAUGGUUUGAAAUCCACCAUUCUGGAGUGAAUUGGUAUUUACUAGUGAAGGGGAUCUUAACCAAGUGUUGGUAACUAUUUGAAUGCUCCAACAUGGACUAGGGGGUUGUGAUAACAAUCUGAUACCAUAGGAAAAAUCUAGUUGCCUCUUUGUCUAUCAUUUGUUUCUUGCAUUAUUUCUUGCCUUGCUUGUUUAUGUGUAACUUCCUUUGAGUGACAACUAGGAUUGCAUUGUAGGUGUGCUUAGCAUAGAUAUACUUCUUGCUCGAUCUUAAGGACUUCUAUCUUAAUGUGAUCAUGAGCUGCCCAUUAGUUAUUUAUCUCGUAGGUUGUAUCAAAUGUUGAGUGAACAACUUGAUACAUUUGGUUACUUUGUUUCUUUAGUUACCUUGCUAAGAACUUGACUAGCUUGAUGGCCCUAGAGACCACUUAGUAUGCUUUUGUAGAAAUCUUAGGAACCAGGUGCUAGGGGAUUUAGAAUUUUUUUAGGUCUCAAUUCAAAAUUACGCUCUUAGACUAUUCGGUCCUUUCAAUUGACUCUAAAAAGUUUUUUGGACCAAAAAGCAACAAAACCAAAACAAAUUGAAGGUGAAAUGGCCUGAUGUUUCGAAUCGGCACUAAGCUGAUGAACAAAUUAAAGUUUCUAUAAACUACCUUGGGGCAAGCUUCAAAUUUAAAAUCUUGGACUUGAGUGCUCGCUAUUGGAGCUUCUAUUGCUCUUUAUUUUUCUUUAUUAUCUUUGCCCCUAGGGAGCUUAUGUUACUCCCUUCCACUCUAUUGGGGUAGUAAACCUUUGUAACAUCACUGCCUAUUGGUAAUGAUUUUUUAUGCUUCUAAAAAUGAUAAUUUUAACAUAUAUUGUGCAUAAGUUGGUAAUUUAAUUAGAAACACAUGUAUAGAUAUUUUGUGGUGUUUUUUAAAAUUUAGAUGCAAAGUGAUGAGUGGAUGUGAAGGGACACCUCAAUAUUUGUGAUGGAAUGCUUUGGUUGUUAUUUAAUGGAUGUGAGGAAGACUAGAUGGAUGACGUGGCUUCACAAAAUUAUAGCAAUAGUAGAUAUAAUAUUCUCUAAUAUUCAAUGAUACCUACCAUGCUAAAUGCAAAGGGUAAGAUCGUACGUGAUGAAUAUUUUGAGUGACAUUUUGAUUGCACGCGACUUUAAACAUCAGGACCCAGGCAACAAAAAGAUUAAGUGCGACGAAAGGAAGAGUGACAUUCUGAUCUCAGCAACAAGACUGUGCACUCCACACUACUCCACUACACAUGAUCUGAAAUAAACCAUAACUCCAUUUCCACUGUGAUCAUUGGAGCAUUUUUACUUGUUUCGGAAAUACACACCAGAGGGCAAUUUAAGUAUCUUUGUAUCGAAUAAAAGCGAGUAAAUUUAAAAACUUAUUAGGCCUCCUUUGGUUCAUAGGAAAAAUGGAGGAAAAACAUAGGACUGUAAAUCCUAAUCUUAUAGAAACUGCAAAUAUUCAUGUCUUUGGUUCAUAGGAAUGGAGUAUAUAGGAAUAGUGUACGAGAUUUUCCUUUGACUGCUACUUUGAAAGAAAACUAUAGAAAAUUUAGCAUCCACUCAAACCUUUUUUGUAAAGCUACAUGUUUAUUGCAAGAAUAAUCAUGAGAACUGAAGUUGUACUGUAUGUCAAAAUAGUAUAGGGUUUGAAAUUUAGUACCUUCAUCCUAGGAAGUUUGCUCUGCUUUUACUCUAAGUCAAACUAUUUUAAACUUAAUAAAACUAUAAACAAAAUUAUUAAUAUUUAUGAUAUCAAACAGAUAUAUAAUGAACAUAUGUACUACUAAUUAAAUUUAAUUAGUAGUACAAAUAGUAGUAAUCUUUGAUACUACUAUUUAUUAACAUUUGUACUACUAAUUAAAUAAGAAUCACUGGCGUAUUCUUUUGUAUACAAACUUCAAUUCAACUCUAAAUAAUUAGUUUAAUUUAGAAUAAAACUAAAAUGUUAAAAAAGUCCAAACAGAUGUAUUACUUGAUAAUCUUGUGAAUGAAGUAUAAGAAGAACAAAAGAAAACAACUUAAAAGAAAGGGAAAAAACCACGGCUUCAUCUCAUAUCUUUUCACAGGCCCGGAUCGUUUUUUUUUAUUGCGAAAUUCUAUGACCGCUCCAGCGUGUUAUAGGCCUUGUUUAGUUGGCAAAAAUUUUGGAUUUUGGGUACUGUAGCACUUUCGUUUGUUUGUGGCAAAUAUUGUCCAAUCAUAGACUAAUUAGGGUCAAAAGAUUCAUCUCGCAAUUUACAAACAAACUGUAUAAUUAGUUUUUGUUUUCGUCUAAAUUUAAUACUCCAUGCAUAUAGUGCAAAAUUCGAUGUGACCGGAAAUCACUAGACAAUAUCAAUCCGACACGCAUGAUGAUCAAGUUUUGCUUUGACCAGCCCACCUCCAACUCGAUCUCAUCGCAACUUGCGACUGCCAGAUCGAUCUCUGGGUAUUUUCGAUGGGAUUUAAUUAUUCCGGUCCGGUCUACCUAACACGCAACCGCGCUGCACAGUGACGCCGCCGGCCGGUCGCCGGCGACGACACCAACUCGAUCGAUCAGAUCGUGCAGCGUUCCUUCGACGGCCAUGCAACCAAACUACCCCGUCCUAGCUAGGCUCAUCAUCCGAUCCGACAUGAUUUUUGCCGAUGCACUGUGGGGCACAAGCCGUGCACACGGUAGGACGACGACAUGAAGCGCACGCCGGCCGGCCGGCGGAUGUGAUCACUGUGAUCAAGUGCACAACUUGUGUGGAGAAAAAAAAAAGAAGUAUUGACAACGAGCGAGCGAGCUAAGUGCAAGACGGUCAGACCUGGCGGCGAGCCUGUCCCUGAAGGCGCGGCGGCGGACGGGGCGCCACCGCACGGACUGCGCGACGACCCAGCAGAGGCCGAACCACAGCUCCGCCGCGAGCAUCCCCAGCCACAGCCACGCCUGGCUGCCUGCUUCGCCGGCGGCGGCGGACCUUCUCAGCACGCCGGCCGCCCGGCAGUAGAGCACCAGGCAUAUCCCCACGGACACCGUGACGGCGUAGACCCCGUACAGCGCCCUCGCCCUGAACCCGACACUCUCGGUGGCGAACAGCCUCGCCAUGUCUCACGAGUCUGAGUCUCUGUCGGUUUUGGUUCUAGCCUGACGCCUGAGUGGGCGGCUGCUAUGAGCUACUGUAUGACCGAUUGACCAUGGCGUAGGUAUACUCGAUCGACACAUCCACGCCAAUAAAUAAUAAGCCGCAUUGCCAUGCGUCAUUUUAAGACAAUAAACACCACCCCCGCGAUGACUAAGGGCAUGCAUUCCUGGAACCGCCUGGAAUAUUUCCAGCCCAGUACAAAAUAUUAAAUGGUUUCAGGUCCGAAAUAGUUCCACGCUGUUCCAGCCCAGAAACGAACGGGCCCUAAGGUGUCGCACCCAAGCUGAAACAAAAUAUGUUUCGUCAAAAAAAAGCUGAAACGAAAUCAAGUGGGACCCGUAUUUAUAAAUGAAUUGAAAAAACAGAUCAACUCUUUAUGUCCUACACGCUGGCAACGUGGGCUUAUUUGGAUCCUCUAAAUUUUAGACUAUUUUAACUCUUACGACUUUAUAAACACGUGAUCUCAAAUUGUACCUAAAGUUAGCCACCUCAUAAAAAAACAUUAGUUCAUUAGACCACUAAAAUGAAUUAAAGUGGUCUAAAGUUUAGCCUUUAACUCUUAACAAACUAAACUUUAGACCAUUGAACCCAAAUAGGGCCUUAGUCUUACUUGCAAAUGUGCUCAUAUGCAUGCUAUAAUAGGAUUCAAUACGCCUUGGAUUGACUCCUUCAAUGACCGUUAACAACAUUGUGGUAAUUUAGUCUUACUAGCAAACGUGUUUGUGCUCUAUAACGAGAUACAAUGCAUCUAAGAAUUGGAUUUUGUAUCAUCACUAGAACUAGGUCGUCCUAACUCGUAUGAGUACAGAUUGUGAAUUUGGAUCACAUAAGGGAUAUGAAGGGCGCAUGGGCAUUUUGGAAAAUUAAAAAAGGAUCGUUGGAAGAAUGCCUUAUCCCUUCACUCUUUACUAUUAGGAGGUAUAUAUUCUCUCUUUAACUCUAGGUAGAUUUUGCCAAGUGAUAUCAAUCAUAGGUAAUGUCAUUUCACACCAUAAACACUAAAAUAUAUGAGGUAUGAUUAUAAAGUAUGGAUCUUUACUAUGACACAUCACAUCUAUUAUAAUAUUUAUUUAUAUGAUUUUAUUAUAGAGAAAGGGGUGUGCAUUGACUUUUUUGCCCUCGCCUUCAUCUUCUUCCUUCUAGUGACAUGGAUGUGUUCCUCUCUCUCUCUCUCUCUCUCUCUACGUCCACCUCCCUCCCACCCUAGGUUUGAUGGAGUUACAGCAAUGACAACGAGGGGGAGGACAACGACAACGCCGGAGGUCAGGACCCCUCAUACAUGAAGGAAGAGAAGGAGCCCGACGCUGGGAGAGAAGAAGAUUUAAGGAUGGGGUCCGAUUAGCUAAAAGUCAUGAAGUUAGUGAGAUCUGCACGGGUCGAGGACCAAAGUGUCAUGGUCGCACCAAAGGUUUAUGACCUUGUUGGCCUUGGAGACGUGUUAUCACUCGACAACUGGAACACCUUGCUCAACAAGGACGAGCAGCUUUGCCUCAUCGCCUUGUUACCUAACUCUAUCUCAGAAGGCAGAGCUACCAUCACUCUAUCUGGAAGGCAAAGUCACCAUCCUCUGCCCUUCAAUCACCUAGUGGCGACAAAUAUGGAGGUAAGGGUUUGGUGGUACAAGGAUGGAUAAGAGCUAGGGAAGGGAGAAGAAGGGGUGAGCAUGGUAAGGAGGUGGAGUAGUGGAUGAGGAUGAGAGGGAUGCAUCCACGCCACUAGGAUGAAGAAAGAAAGAUGAAAGAAAGGGCAAAAAAGUCAAUUCACACCCCUUCUUUCUCCUAAAAUCAUACUCCCCCCCUUUCAAAAUUAUAAGUCGCUUUGACUUUUUGGUUCAUUCAUUUAUAGAGGUAAGGGUUGGAUGGUAUAAGGACGAGGAAGAGGGAAGGGGGAGAAGGGGUGAGUGUGGUAAGGAGGUGGAGUAGUGGAUGAGAAAGAGAGGAAUGAGAGGGAUGCGUCCACACCACUAGGACGAAGAAGGAAGAAGAUGAAAGAAAGGGCAAAAAAGUCAAUUCACACCCCCUUCUCUGUCCUAAAAUCAUAUUCCCUCCGUUCGAUACUAUAAGUCAUUUUGACUUUUUUUUGGUUCAUCCAUUUUGUAAAGUAUUUAGAAAUAUUAUUUAUCUAGAUACAUAGCAAAAUAGAUUUAUCAAAUAAGUCAAAGCAAGUUAUAAUUUGGAACGGAGGGAGUAUUAUCGAAUUAUAAUCAUUGUGAACUGUUGGAGCAAAGAUCCAUAGGUUUAUAACGGUACCUAUUAUAUUUUAGUGCUUGCGGUGUGAAAUUACCAAUACCAUGUAUGUUUGAUGGUGUGUGGCAAAAAAAUUGUCCAGACAUUGGACGGCAUGAGUUGCAGGUCCUUACCACUUCCCAUACACAAUACUCAUUUCCUCCUCUAGAUCACCAUAUAGAUUAUUUUUAAAAGGAAAAUGAAGUCUUCAAUAGUUUUAAAAAAUAAUUCCAGAUAUCGCCGCCUGUUCAUUUAUGCUGAGCACUAAAUUGUAGCUGCAGAAGGGGUCCUACGUUUUUCAGUAUUAUUGGUGCAUAAUUUGUGAAUAGUAUCUUCAAUCGGUCAGUCUUGUCAAUUUUUUCCUUUGCUGCCAAGCAAUACUUUUCAGAAGUACUAAUCCGUACUUCUUGCAUUUUUUUCCCUAUGCAUGCUAGGUGCUAAGCAGUAUGCUGCGUACAGUGGAUCUGGUUAUUCAAUGAUACUUCCAAUAGUUUGGAUUUCGGACACAUGCCAAAUCCAUUGCAUAAACUAUACUUUGAAAAAUACUUCUACAAACUCAUAAACUUAUGGAAUGUCUAAUAUAUUUCAAUAGAAACUUGUGGUCAGAUGCAUACAUUGGAGAAUAAUAGUGUCCAAAACUGAGUACUUUUGCCUAGAAAGAGUACAUUUUUGCAUUUUGCAUCAUCAAUGUAUCUAUAUUCUUUAUUCUCUCGGUCUAUCUCCAAGAGGCCGGAUGAAGCAGUUGUUUACCAUGGUGAACCGAAUUUCAGACCAAGGGUCGGGGCUUCACUCUCAGACUGCCGUCAUAGUGGCCGUAAUAUCCGUAGGGUCAUCGAUGUAUAAUGCAUUCAGAUUCAGAGAAACCAUGAAGCAGAUACAAAGGGUGUUUCAGAUUCUUCUGAAUCAUUUUUGCUUGGUAGUUUCUUCUGCUCUAGUAAAAGAAUCUGCGAUUACAUCAGUAGCCCAAUCCUUGACAUCCUCCUACAGGUAAAGAAUACAAAUAUCAGUAAUAAAACAUGCUAAGAGUAAGAGGUUCUUCAAGACAUAAAUUGAUUACAUGAGGAUCCCAUGAAAUAUCUAAACCUAAAUGUGGGAAGUACUAUGGCACAAGCUGUUGAAUAACUGAACAUGCAAACCAUAUAAUUUCAGCAUUGGGAUAAAUGGUGAAAAAAAUAGUGGAACAUAUCAGAGGUGACAAUGCCAUAAAUCAUCCAAGAGUAUCAUGCAAAACUUCAUUUCAGAAACUGACGAUGAGAAAUGUCUACUAACCAGCCGCACUGGCUCCCCAGUUCUUAUACGGGCAUGUGGACGAGCUAACUUUGAUUCAAAAGGGGUCCUUGGCCUGACUUCUUGGACCUCCUCCCAUUCUUCACGAGUCAGCAUCCUUACUUUUCCUUGAUCAGGGUGGCUAUUCUUUAUCUUGCGCUCUCUCCUUUCUUGAUCCGUAGCUUCAUGUUCCUUUCCACAGAAAGGGAAAAUAAGAUUCAUAACAUGAUUUUGAUAUCCUAAAAAACAUUGAAAAAUGAAAAGAACACUAUUCAAUUUAGUUAACCAGAAGCUCAAUAUUAACCCUGCCUUAAAACAAUAAUCUAGAAUCUUGAUGAUUCAGUUAACCAGAAGGGUGUACACAAAUUGACACGAAAAAUUAGUUCAAGAUUAACCCUUCCUUAAAACAAUGGUCUAGAACCUUGAGAUUUAAUUAACCAAGAAGGGUGUACACAAAUUGUCAAGAAACAUUAGGCAGCUUACAGUAAAAAAUGUGAAACUGAAUGAAAAUUGUAGAAUUGAUCCGUAUGAAAGGGAAGAAAUGCUGAUUGAAUGUAAUAUCAAACAGAUUUAAUAGUACAAACUCAUACUCAGGAUAACACAAAUCUACCGAGGCCCAUGAAGAAAACAUUGUAUACACCUAUAUGAAGCAAAUAGACACACUUGUCACAACUACAACUACCUUCAAAACGUACAGGUUACAUGUCUACAUGCCCAGAUCUAACAAUAUGAAGAUUCUACACUUCGCACCAUAACCUUUCAUAGCAUUGAACAAAAGAUUCGCAUAAUGUUCAGGUAUUCAAGGAAAUACACAGUACUUGCAAUUGUAACACAAAACAACCCUAGGAGAAACCAGCUACAGCUACAAGGCCUAGGACACGGAGCAAUACCAUCAUGAGGAGCUUGGUGAAGAGGGCCACGGCGGCGGCGGUGAGCACCAUGGGGAGGGAGACCGAGUCGAGCCACGCCAGCGACUCGGGCGUAGGCACGAAGAACUCGUCGCGGCCCGGGUCGCGCCGCCGCCGCCUCGCGCGCUCCCGCUCUGCCACGCGCAUCCGGAGGAAGUCCCUCGGCGAGGCUUCUCCCGCCCACGCGACCUGCCUCGCGGCCGCCCCGCCCCGCCGCAGCGCCGACCGCAGCAUCGCCGCCGUGUCCACGCUCGCCGGCGACUCGAGAGGAGAAAAUGGAUACCAAAUGGGCAAUGGGCUAAGCUGUUUGUUACUACCAAAUUUGGCCCAUGUAUGCCCCAUGGGAUCUCGGCCCGUUUUAGUAGUUCCAUUUGUGUACCUGGGCUUCUUUCCUUUCCUUUCCUCGCAAUUUUACUUUUAUUUUCUUAAAUAAAUUACUCACUCAAAUUUUUAUUUCUAAAAGUGGAUGUUUACUACUGUUCUGGUUCAACUUUUGUAAAGUACUUCUACUACCAAAAAUCAAAACAUCAACCGAGCGUGUAGAACUAGAAGUUGUUUUUUUAUUAGCAACCGUUUUUAGUUUUGUUAAGGCCUUGUUUAAUUGACAAAAUGAAAAAGUUUUCGGACACUGCAGCACUUUCGUUUAUUUGUGACAAAUAUUGUUCAAUUAUGGACUAACUAGGCUUAAAAGAUUCAUGCAUGUGCCACAAGAUCCGAUAUGACAGGAAUCUUGAAAAGUUUUUUGUUUUGGGGUGAACUAACCUAAAAAAGGAACCGUUUUUCAUGUAGUACAUGUUGAAUCUGCUUUUGGCUUUUCAGCUUUUCCAAACAGGCAAAAAUAGAGAGACGUUUUAUAGGUGUUUCAAGGGAAAUAAAGAGAUGAGGACAGGAUUUUUAGCUAUUACUAAACACCUACAACCUUUUCACAGCAAUUUUUUUCAUAGCUCAUAAUAGUUUUUUCACGGUCCAUAGCUAAACUGAAUAGGCCAUUAAUAAAACUAUUUCUAGUUAGGUACUAAAAACACUAAAAAGAAAGUAGAUCCGAGCGUUAAACUUUUGAUGACUGAUGUCCUUAUAGGAGGUCAAGGAUUUCAAAACCUACCCAAAUUAGGCACUUGCUUGGGUGUUAGGCUUAUGCUUUUUUUGGAUACACUUGGACGACUAAACGAGCACGCUUUGUGAAGGAACGAAAGUGCUUUUUUUUUCCGAGUGACACUGAGAUCGGCCUUUGCCGGCACCCCCCCUUUCUCUCUACUCGUAUCCCGCAUAUCUCCCUGCUCCAGCGUCGUCACCCCGGGAAACCUGAGAAGAUACAGCUUUGCCACAUCGCCACCAGCCUGCAGCCCUGCACAUCUCACAUCACAUCGCGGGGCAGCAUGUGAUGCGUAUCAGCGCGUGAGGCUGAAAAGGUGGACGCGAACCCAACCGGGGUCCGGGGCGAGAUCGCAAGAGGGGGCAGCGACAGCGGAGACAUGCCGUCGCCGAACACCCGUGUCGCCGGCAGGGUGUCGUGUCCGUCGGUUGCCAGUCCACACUGCCAGCCAGCUGCAGAUGGCACGGGUGACCUGAUCGCGUCCCGGCUCUGAAGCCGGCCGCCUGAAUUAGCUUUAGCUCUCGCGCGCGUCCUCCUGUCCUGCCUCCCUGGAUUGGAUCCAUCCAUCCGUGCGAACUGCCCGCCCGGCCUUCUUCAGCCUGCCGGAGUUUUCUUUGCCGGGGCGCCGGUGCGUGUUACGCGUGCAAGAUAAACUUGUUUAUCUUCUCCGUUACCAACAAAUCUCUUUCGCUAAUCGCCUGUCUUUACUCUCCUUUGCCGCUUUACCGGCAGGUGACCGGUAAAGGCUGGCGUUUUUGUCUUUGAGCGUCUUUUACACCUACACAAUCACCAUCAUCACUUCACUCCAGUCGCCCCCAUUGCCGUGCCCAUCGCCAUCAUGGCUUUCUCUUGGAGCAAAAUAAUCACUUUGAGCAGGCAACCGUUGCCACCUUCGUCCAUUGGCGCUCCGCUGCUCAACAUCAUCACAAACUCUGCAUCAUCUUGCCAAGCUGAUAUAACUCUGUGAUCUGACCAGACUCACUCACAGUCACAGGUUAACCUGCACUGAUAUGAUCUUAGCUUCUCCACCGUACGUGAUCCAAACUCCAGGUCAUCCAUCAUACACACUCUCUCUCUCUCUCUCUCUCUCUCUCUGCCUCGUUUGCAGAAACAAUAUAAACGGAUAAAUAAAUAAAAUCUGUUUGUGCCACACACUGCAGAUGCACAUGCCAGUUUCAGAGUUCAAAACAGUGCCUGAUAGUUUAAUGGGUGCAGAGCUUUUGGCCAUGAGGGGCUCCAUGUGCCGCUGCUCAUGGCUCCAAACAUAGGCUUUGUUGUAUUGCCACUAAACAAACUCGUGGCCAUUUGUCUAUGCCGGCGGUCCAGCCGUCUCACCGGCGGCUGCUCGUUCGGACAACGGGACGGGACGCACUACUUGGCUACUGCUGCUACAUGCAUGUCUAGGCCACCGGCACACUGGCAUGCACAGUAAUCGGACCGGCGAUUCGCCGGGGAACGGUCAAGUUCUCUGCAUAGCAUAACCUAUCGAUCUAUCACUGAUGACCUGACCUAACACUCGAAAGAUUCCAUGGACACGCAUAGUAGAUGUAUAUAUAUGUAUCUAUCUAUCCAAUCAUGCAUGGACCACGUCGAGUAGAAUUAAAUUGAAUAGCCGGAAAGGGAUUAGGCAGGCUACAGUGGUAGGGAGAGAGACCGGGGAGAAAGGUGGACGAAAAGAGAUGGCGUAUGUCCUGGAGUGUCGCCGUAGUGCUGGCCGAUUGGCAGGUUUCAGGUUGCUGUCUGCUCGCAGACGCCAUGAUCGGCUGCCAUGCUCCCAAGGACGACAGCGAUGGAGUUAUGGGCGACGUCGUUGAUGCAGUGCAGUCUUCGGAUUAUUUGAUCGAUUCGAUUUGUUGCAAUACUGGAUCAUUUCUUUUCCCAGCAAGAUAGCAGCUUGUCAUGUUUCCUAAAGCCUAAGCCUUUACACCCCUUUGAGCGAAAGAAAUUUGGGGAUCAAAAUCCUACAUUAUUUUUUUUUCUAGGCAACCAUUUGUUCAACAGAACAAUGUUUUUCUCUUACAACAAAUCAGCAUCAGCUGCAAAAAACGUUCCAACAACAUCCUUUUGAAAAUUGUUGGUUAAAUAGGUACUUUCAAAUAGUUCUACCAAGAGGUUAAACCUCGUGGAAAGUUUCCUUUGUAUAAGUGUUGGUGUUUUUUCACCCAACGGGUGAAUUUAUAUGAAUGUUGCAUUGCUUUUAGGAAGACGAUGGUAGCAUCUAAAGACACAAGGCCAAAUCCCUACGUCCAAUCUUAGAGAUAGAUUGAAUGCAUGUUCCUCGGUUGAUUGCUUGAGGUUCUUACAAUGGGUGUUGUAAGAAAAGUAAAAGAGAUAGAAGAGUGGAGAGGGACUAUCCGAAUGAAAUCUCGGGAGUCUGUCCCCUUGGAAGGGAAGCUUGGCUGCCCUUAUAUAGAGUCAAGAGCCAGGUCACGUACAAAGAGAUAGGUUCUCUCGACCGAGUGAUCAUGAGCCUGGGAGGGAGAAACCUAGUCAACUUGGCUUGCAAGGAAGGCCGCCCUGUCCCAGCAUCGGUGCACAUACCAGUGUGGUUGUCAGCAUGGUCUCGUCCCUAUGUCACAGCAUGGCAUGACCUGAUGCAAAAGUGUUGGUGGUGUCAACACUGCUGGCACAAUGGUGGUUUGUCAAUUGUCCUGUGCGACGUGAGCUUGUUAUGGCCUUUGUCAUCGUCUCCUGGUGGCGUCGUGGUGAUAGUGCAGGGGUUGGUAGCCACCCCCGGCCACCCUCGAGUCGUCGGUCGCCUUUGUUGAUCGUGAUGCCAGUGGCCUCGAUCCACAGCUGUGGGAUCAAGACGGCCGGUGGCUUCACCAGUCUUGAGAGUCAACGCUAGGGUCGUGCGCCCAUCCCAACCAUAUUGGGUGGGGUUGUACAACUGUCUUGUCAGACUGUAUUUGAAUAGUGGGAUUGGUGUAGUCUUGUCUACAGCAUGGCACUAUGAUGGCGUUUUCUCUGAGAUGGUUGUCCCCACUAUCCUGGGGAAGUGAGUGGGACGUGCAUGUCCUUGUUAGGGUAGGCAUACCUGAUGGAGCUUGGCCUCUCCCCAUUCCUUCCUAGGGUUCGGAUGGGGUGAGGUUGUGUGAUGUUGCAUUGCGUGCAAUGGAAGGGGAUGAAAGGUUCUGGUCGACCACUUCUCUCGGUGCAUGGCCCAGGUCCCAUGUGUCUUCGGUGGGCCUCAGGUGCUAGGCUUUUGCUGAUUGAGCCAUCCAGGAGACUAACUAAUCGAUGCCCUAAGAUACUUGGGUAUCACUAAACCUGACAAUAAGUUUUUCUACGCUCCAUCCAAAUGUUCAUCUGAACUUCCUUAUUAAUAUAAUGCUUUAUAUUUUAACAACUCUUCUUCCUCUGUUUUUAGAAUAACUCUUCCUCUUCAUAGAAUACAUACCUCGUGGUAUGGUCAAGAAAAAAACUUCUUUGAUGAUAUUAUGAUUCUAACCCCUUGUCCCAUCGCCAAUGCCUUUAUUUCUACAAACGGCUAGAAAGCCUCUGCAACCUAUGCUUUUCUACCUCUACAAAUUAGCUGGGUGCCUAGCCGCCUCUAAAAAUAGAAUUUAUAUAGGCGUCAGGAAACAAGAGAUGCCUCUAUAAUUGAUUUGUACAGAUAGUUGUAUUUCGAGCCGCAUCUACAAACCGUUUCCCAAAUCACAAAUUUACCCAAAAAUAGCAAAAAUGUUUUAAACCCCUAGGAGACACCACCAGGUAGCCUCAUGUGCGCGUCGUCGCUAGUCACAUUGUUUUUCGCUCAUACAGAUAACCAAAUAGCAUUUUGCAUCCACUCAUUCAACCUCACCAAACACCUUUUUAUUUAUGAAAUACAGUUCUACUACACCUAUAUCCACUUAGCUAGGAUAUAUGACGCAACCCCCACCAACCAACCAAACAUAGCCCUAGUAGAGGCCAGAGCUAAAAGUUCUUAGUACAACUCCAACAUGGUCCCUACUUGAUCCUCCACUGCUAAAUAUGAGUGCUUAGGAAAAAACCUGUGUCCUAGCAGAGUCCUACUUGAGCCCAAAAUCUAGAUGGGCACCCGAAUCCUCCCUAGGGACCCUAUUCCUAGGGGCUCACCUUUGGGCCCACAUCUUGCAUUUUCAUCUGCUUCUUCCCCGCGCUCCCACGGAAUUUCCCCCUCCUGGCUAGACCUCUUCGUGGUCGGAGCCAUCGUCGUGCCACUAGUCGCUGGUUGCGGUAGGGUUGGACAACGCGCUCGUUGUCGCCAACUAGGUCUGUAGUGGGGCUAAUGCCCACGUUGCUGCUCGCCUGGCCCUCAUCAGGAACUAGCUCACUUGAGUUUGGCAUGCCUCCACACAGUCACCUUGUCAGCGCGUGGCGGUAGCUAGAGGCGUUCAUACUGGUGGCCAAUGAACACCUGACGCAUGCCCUUCCUCUUGGCGGGCAACAGCCUCCUCUCGAUGAUGGUUGGAGGCACUAGGGAUGUGGUGAGGCCCGCCUCUUCCCUCAACAAUCGGUGUGUGAGAUUCAGGGGCACGAUCCUCGCAAUGGCUGGCACAAAACUAGGAGAUCGAGGAUGGGGAAGAACUGACUAUGGCGAGUGGGUCCAAUAUAACAAUGUCUAUUAUGAUGAAUUUGGAGGCUUUGACUUGAGUGCUUUUGCUAGAGCAGAUGUAAAAAAAAAUAGGCCCUCAAAAAUGAGGAGAGCCAUCAAAUCAAAAGUAGAGACCCUGAUUUGAGGGCUAUUGCUCAAGAUGUUCUUAGAGAAGUUUGAUUUAGAGCAAAACCAAAAUGACUUGUACUUUCCGUCCCAAAAAGUUUCAAGAUUGAUAUCUAGCCGUGGGAGAUCAAACAAUUUCAAUUUUAUUCAUAGCUCUUCAGCUUUUGACUAAAUCUGCAUAAAAAAUACUAACAUUUAUGAUACUAUAAAUGAAUAUUAUUCUAUUAAUUAUAAAAUAUAUCUUAAUAAUAAACUAUUUAAAGAUAUUAUUUUUUAUAAACUUCACAAAGCAAAGAAAUUUGAUUUGUUUACAACCUAGAACCAUAUAUUUUUUUCUAGAGAUAUAAGGAGUUUACGCGGAAGAAGUUCUAUCCGGGCGAGAAGAAAAGCCUCGAUCAAAGCGGCUAUGAUUUUGGUCUCGUGGUUGUAGGCUCACUGCUAGCCCAACUCAAGACCGGCGCAGCCGCACCGAGAUUAGCCCGCACCGCAAAAUCAAGCGCGAUCGGUUUAAUCACUCAACUCGAUAUUUCGAGGUGUAAUUCCAAGGCUGCUUUUGUGCAUUCGAGACGAGCUAGUGCUAAUGGACGAGGUGUGGCCAUUUUUUAAUUCCUCUAUUACCGAAACUGCCGGCCAUAGACUGCAGACCAGCCAGUUAUCUGCAGUGUGUGUAUUGCUACUCGGCACCAGGCGAACGAAGAAGUCACCAACACAAGAAUUCCAAUCAAUCUUGAGCCGAUAUUCCAAAUGACUGUAAAACGCAGUCUCUCAGGGUUGUUCCCAGCAAGAAAAUCAAAAUAAAUCCUGAGGCCUUGUUUAGUUGGCAAAAUUUUGAUUUUUUGUCUACUGUAGCACUUUCGUUUUUAUUUGACAAACAUUAUCCAAUCACGGAGUAACUAGGCUCAAAAGAUUCAUCUCACAAAUUUCAGAUAAACUGUAUAAUUAGUUUUUAUUUUUAUCUUUAUUUAAUGCUCCAUACAUGUCACCAAAGAUUCGAUGUGACGGGGAAUCUUAAAAAUUUUUGCGAACUAAACAAGGCCGGUAAAAUUUUUGAAUUUUGGAUACUGUAGCACUUUCGUUUGUUUGUGACAAAUAUUGUCCAAUCAUAUACUAAUUAGGGUCAAAACAUUCAUCUCGCGAUUUACAGGCAAACUGUGUAAUUAGUUUUUGUUUGCGUCUAAAUUUAAUACUCUAUGCAUGUGCCGCAAGAUUUGAUGUGACGAAGAAUUUUGAAAUUUUCUGAGAACUAAACAAGGCCUCAUAACUUUCACAAAAUCUUCAGAGAUACGCACAGCACUAUUCAGUUACUCGUCAAAACGAUUGAAGAUGUUGUCCCGUUACAAUUUACAAACAGCGCCUUAAUAAAUAAAUUUGUACUAGUGUUAUUAGGAUCGGGCCCACCUGUCAGAGUCUUUACCAGCGUAUCCGGUGCUGUUUGCGCCGCGAGUCUCGGGCAACGCGCGACCCACCCCGCCACCCACGCCAGACGCCCGCGCCCCCUGCACGGCACGGCUGCACGCUGCGCGCAGGACCCAGGAGGGGCAGGCCUGGCGGCGGUUCCCCAAGCGCAUCGGCAUCGCGCCAUAGAUUAGCGAGGAGGAAGAGGAGUAACCGCUUUGUUGAUCCACCCGAAAAGCGCAUCCUUUUACCACCAAACCAGUGCCUUUGACCCGCCCGCUCGUCCGUCCCACCCCUCUCGCAGCACACCCUUUGUCUCUCCUUUGCACUUGGGCCUCACCGCCUCCGCCUGAAUCCCCACACCAAUCACUGGGGGGGACGGAGGAGGCCUCGCUCUCAAAUCCGCCCAGUAGCCGCCGCGCCGCCUACAGGUACUAUGCAGCUCAGGCCCGCGUCGCGCCGUCGCCAUGGCUCGGUCAUGUGAGUCUCCUACAGGUGCAGGAGGCGCCGCAGUCAGCACCGGCAGCGCCAUGGUCGCUCCUCGGUCCUACUAGCAAAGGUAUAGUGCCUCCCCCUCCUCCCGCGCUCGCCGUCGCCGGCUGACUGACUGACUGAUUGAUUGAUUCGGGUGUCAUUUUCCCCAGGUGGGGAUGACCAUUCCUGAUCUGUUGCUUUAAUGCCUCCCCCCCAUCACUUUCCAGAUCCAACCCACCUCUUCUUCUUCCUCCUCCUCCUCCCACCCCGGCGUCUUUAUAAAUCUCCCGCUGCCGCAUUCACUGGCCACCGGAGUUAUUAGUGCCCCCAUGUCCUGACGCGGACGCGGGCGGAGCACACCACAUGCGGAUGUGCUGUGCUGUUGCCUGCCUCAUAUGAUUCCGGUGUGCUCCAUCAUACCUGCCUCUCUCUUCUUCUUCUUUUUUCCGGGGGGGAGGGGAGAAAAGCGGGGGGGCAGCGAGUUGUGCGCCUUGUGAGCUCGCAGCUGUUCCAGGUUGCAAUGCCUCUGCUGCUCUCCCGUGCUUUAGUUUAGUCUGCCCCCCGCCCCCUUUUCCUUCCCGUUCGCUUUGGUUGGGGACAUCUAAAAAAAAUUUCCCUUUCUUUGCUAUAAUCUCUCUGGCGCUGGCCCACUUCGCCCUCCCUAUUUUUGUGGGGAAUGCCGGGGUGGGGGCUUGUGAUUUUUGAGCCCUCGUUCUAGUGCUUGGCCUUUUGGGGGAGUGUUGAUGCGGCGUUAUGGGGCGCUGGAUCUGCUGUCCAACGCGAGUUCGUAGCACUUGCACUAGCUUGUCGGGGAGCCUGCGAGGUGAUUUCUUGCCCAUGGAUCCUGAAAAGGCUCCUCUUCUCUUCUCUCUCUUUCUCAUAGGUAUCCGCCGCCGUGUGUUUGCUAUGCCCGUUUUAUUCCUGUCUUGCUCGGUGUGGAUUAGUGUUUCCUUGUUUAUUUCAUUCGUUUUUGUUGGAUGGCUCACUUUGCAGCCUGGUUUUCUUGCAGAAACUUUUGUAGUUCUGUUGCUAACGUGGUGAAUUGAUUUUCAGAUCAGGAGUUGGGGAUUGUGCUGCCACUCUGCUGAAAGUUGAGACAAGGUGGACAGGUUGUGGUGUUUCCCUGCCUGUUAGAGUCUGUAGUUCUGCGUUCCUGAUCAACUGCUCUUACGCGAUUGUUGUCAUCUCAAUCUGUUUCGCCAAGCAUGGCUGGGCAAACGGCAAAGGCAAAGGAAGCAGGAAAAGAUGACAGACAAGAACCUGGAGCGGAGGCGACGAAAGAGAAGCUACUGCCGUCUCACAAGCAGCAAGAGCCUCCAGCUUCUGUGGUGGACAAGGAUUCUUCUGGUGUCUCUUCAGUCCCUGGUGAUGAGUCGCCGCCAGUCCUGGAUGGGGAUUCUGGUGAGUUAAAAGAGGAGGAAAACUUGGAUGGUAAUGGGAAUAAGGAAAAGAAAACGUCUCAAAAGAGCAGUACAAGUGACGGCUUUGCUUCUGCUAAAGUGAGUGAUGGGACAAGUAGUUUGAGGAAGACUAGUGGUAGUGCGACGAUGAGCACACGGGCUGAUUUCACUGAGAGUGGGAAGAGUAGCAUGUGCCGUGCGAGCACGGGCAGUGACAUUAGUGAUGAGAGCUCCUGCAGCAGCAUGAGCAGUGCCACCACAAAGCCACACAAGGGGAAUGAUUCAAGGUGGGAGGCAAUCCAUGUGGUGAAGUCCAGGGAUAAUGCUCUUGGUCUGAAUCAUUUUAGGCUGCUUAAGAAGUUGGGUUCUGGUGAUAUAGGAAGUGUGUAUCUCUCUGAAUUGAGUGGUACACGGAGUUACUUUGCUAUGAAGGUUAUGGAUAAGACUUCUUUGGCGAGUAGGAAGAAGCUGCUUCGAGCUCAGACCGAGCGGGAGAUCCUGCAGUCCCUGGAUCAUCCAUUUCUACCAACCCUGUAUACUCACUUUGAGACAGAUAAGUUUUCAUGCUUGGUUAUGGAAUUCUGUCCUGGAGGGGACCUUCAUACUCUUCGGCAAAGGCAGCCUGGAAAAUAUUUUUCAGAGCAAGCAGCAAAGUAUGUACUUCUGCUAAUGAUAAGUUCAAUAUCUUACGUAAUUCGCUGGUUAGCUUUAUUUUUUUAUCAGGAGUUGUGAAAUGCUUAUCUGCAGGUCAACAUGUUUGCUUUGCAAUUUUAUUCUAUCAUAGUUUUGUGAGGAAUAAUUUGUUUGUACUCACACGGUCAGGUGCAUAUGACAUGUUUACGCAUUUUUAUGUGCUAACAGAAACCUGUUUAUUGCUGUCUGGGAUACUGUCGCAUGCCCCCCUCUUGUUGCAUUCCUAUGUUAGAUGCUCAUUUGAUGACAUGUAUCUUGAGAGGCUUUAGGUGCUAAUAAUGUUGAAAUUCUGACCUCUUUAUAAAUCUGUGCUAUUUUCUGUCUUUAUUAAAAUGUCUUUCACUUAUUUGGCACUGAUUGAAUAUCUUGAUGUUUCAGGUUCUAUGUAGCAGAGGUGCUCCUUGCAUUGGAAUACCUGCAUAUGCUUGGGAUUAUAUACCGUGAUCUUAAACCAGAAAAUGUUCUUGUUCGGGAAGAUGGCCACAUCAUGCUGUCAGACUUUGAUCUCUCUCUUCGUUGUUCAGUAAGCCUAACGGUGAUCAAAUCUGCAAAUCCUGGCCUAGAUGCAAUGCAGAGGAACAAUGCAGCAUACUGUGCCCAGCCUGCUUGCAUUGAACCAUCCUGCAUUCAGCCCUCUUGUGUAGCUCCAACUACUUGCUUUGGCCCCCGGUUCUUCAAAUCUAAAUCCAAGUCGAAAUCCAAGUCCAAGAAGGAGAAGUCAAAGUCUGAUGCUCCAAACCAAGAGAACCUCUUCCCAGAGCUCAUUGCUGAGCCAACUGAUGCUCGCUCAAUGUCCUUUGUUGGCACCCAUGAGUACUUGGCCCCAGAAAUAAUAAAAGGGGAGGGCCAUGGAAGUGCUGUGGAUUGGUGGACCUUUGGCAUAUUCUUGUACGAGUUGUUGUUUGGCAAGACCCCGUUCAAAGGUUCAGGCAACCGGGCUACACUCUUCAACGUUGUGGGCCAGCCCUUGAGGUUCCCAGAGUCCCCAAUUGUGAGCUUCUCUGCGAGGGACAUGAUAAGGGGAUUGCUAGUCAAGGACCCGCAGCACCGACUUGGGUACAAGCGUGGUGCUACCGAGAUAAAGCAACAUCCUUUCUUUGAGGGUGUGAACUGGGCUCUCAUAAGGUGCGCAAGCCCUCCAGACAUACCAAAGCCUGUUGAGCUCGAGUGCCGCCCAAAGCAAGUGCCAUCAGCAAAUGGAAAGGUCGCGCCAGUCGCUAACCAAAAGGGGCCAGAUAAUUAUCUAGAGUUUGAGUUCUUCUAGGGAAUUUAUGUGAUUUCUGAACUGAGAGAGAGCAUCUGGGCUGAUGCUGUUGAAAGAAAGUGAAAGAUGAUGAGCUACUCUAGGCAUGUGCUUGGCUGGUUUUUUUUCUGCCAUUAGACUGUAUGCUCGUUUCAGGAUAUCCGAGUUGUUAUUUUUCCGUGUUGAACUGCUUAACUCUAGGGUCUACUCAAUCCAUCAUGUAUGUUGAAAUUUUCAGAACCCACCUAUGGUACUUGAAAUGGAUUUCAGGUCUACUUGUUCUAGCUGUCUGUGUAAUUCCUAUUGUACUUUGUAAUUGAUUCUUCCUCUUAGAACAUGUCUUGCUCUACAAAUGCUGAUAUCUGAACAUGGCAUUGCUACUCAUCUCAGUCUGUCGUAAAAAAACAGAAACUGGUGUUUGCAUUUGUUGGUUGUCCGGAGGUGAGAGUGAGACCCCGGCAAGGCAAGGCAACAAGAAGCUUCGAUCUUGUAAGGCAUUUUUAGGGUCCCCGGUGGUAUUGUUGUGGGCUUCUAGCAAAUGAUUUACCAUUCCUCAAUUCGCUGGGUGUUUCAGGCAUUGGUACCUUUAGUGUUGGCAAUGGGUAAAUCCCCAUCGGGUAUGAACUUCCCAGAUCCAUUCCCAUGACAAUAAUAUGACACCACGGGUAUCUCUAUAUACAGUACUGGGUGGGAAAAUUUUUCCAGACCCAUGGACCCAUACCCAUUUACCCAUGGUGAAGGGUUUGCUCCGUUUGUGUAUCUAUGGGUACUGGUUUCACUCCAUAUUAGUACCCUAAUAGAGUAAAUAUCCAUCGGCUCGCGGGUCGUGGGUCCCCAUUGACAUCUUUAGGUACCUUGAAUGUUUUGGCUUGGCUGAACUUCAAGGCCAGGCGAACCAGAGACCCAGAGCCUGGUUUAGCGCAUGCACCAUUGCACUUGCACCUGCACAAGUUUGUUUUAUUGAUUGACUCUUGAGCCAAGUGCAGCAGGAACGCUGUUUGGUUACAGUUAAGUUACAGUAAAUUCAGUCGUUGCCAAUCAUAGACAGCGUUGUGUCCCCUCCGCAUGUGUCAUCGCUUCUAGUGAGCGCAGGUGAAACACGCAAACCAUCGAUUGGGCGACUAAUUGUCUUCGGCUUUAUGGAGGGAGGUAGGAAUUUGUUGGACUGUUUUCUCAAAAAAAGAGGAAUUUGUUGGGCUACUCAAUUGACAAGUGGGCUGGUGUACUAAACAUGUCUUCGCUCGGCCUGGCCCAGCAACAAGCAAACAACAUGAGCACUCACAAAAGGGCCACCCCAGCACGGGAGAAGGCAUCGAACGACCGCUGGUUAGAGUGAUGAUUUCUGAAGUUCACCCCUCAACUUUUGCAAAAGUCUGUUUUCCGUCCCUGAACUUCAAAACCGGAUAAAAUACAUCCUCAAAUUUUUGAAACCAUAUAUAUUACAUCCCUGAUAUGGUUAUGAGCGGUUUUGAAGGCAGUUUUGUCUUUUUCAUUUUUAUUUAUUUUAGGUGGAAACUAAACAGGGCCUAAGUAAUACGUGAUUCAAUGAGUAUAAAAUUUUUACUAUAACUCAAAUAUAGAAUAAUUAGCUCACCAUAAAAAUUUCAUCACAAUUGGACCAUAGAAAAUGUAGCUAUAAUUAGUCUAAUUAAUUAUAGAAAAACAUAUAUCUAAAGAUGCAUCAAAAAAUAUACUAGAACAUACUAUAUUAUAUAUUCAAUAUGUAGAUCUAUUGAUCUGAAGUCCAACAAAAUUGAGUUUUCUAUUUUAUGAUUUUUAUGUGAUUUACCGUGAUUUUUCAAAAAUUUCAGCCAAAAUAAAGAAAAAGAAAAAGGUAAACCACUUUCAAAACCAGGUCAAUGAUGUAAUGUGCACGGUUUUAAAAAUUGAAGGAUUUAUUUUGUCCGGUUUUAGAGUUUAGGGAUAAAAAUCAGACUUUCACGAAAGUUGAGGGACGUAAAGUAAACUUUUUUCCUUUGAUAUAGACUUUCAUCAACUUUUGCGAAAGAAAUUCGAGCCGCUUGAAAGAAAUUCGACCCAAUCUGUCGAAGCAUCGAGAUUUGGCCCAUGAUUUUCAACUCAUGGCCUGAUCCAAGCUGAAAACCCCGACCCAAUAUAAGUGGAAAAAAGUUUAUAUUACCUUCAUCAACUUUUGCGAAAGUCUAUUUUUUCUCACUAAACUCUAAAAUAAGCUAAAACAUCUCCCUCAACUUUUAAAACCAUUCAUCUUACCUUUCUGGCUUGAUUAUAAGCGGUUUUGAAGACGAUUUUGUCUUUUUCUUUAUUCAUGGCUGAAUCUUUGAAAAAUCAUAGUAAACCACAAAAAAACAUAAAAUGAAAAAUCAAAUUUUGUUAGACUCCACAUGAGUAGAUUUACAUAGUGAAUAUAUAAUAUAGUAUGUUUUAGUAUAAAUCUUUUGUUGUAGCUUUAUAUCUAUGUUCGAAAAUAGAGGAUUCCAACAGAGAAUAAAGAUGAGGGACGAGCUCGCUGCUGCUCGACACUUGAGGGUCGGAGGCUCUGCUCGAGGUCGUUCAGAUAUCGAGGUGUGACUUACACAUUUAUCAAGACAAUAAUUAGAGUUUUGAGUCACUCCAAAUCGCCCCAUCCUUAGGGCCGAGCUCCCUUUUUAUGUAGUACGACUACAGUUUUUUGUUGGUACAAAAUACCCCUGUGAUAACCACGGCAUAUGCCGGAAUAUUCUGCUCUUUUAUGCAUCCUCUCAGGGACACCUAAGUCUUUUACUUAUAUAGCCCCUCUUGCUAAUGGGCCCUUGCUAAUAUUGACGUCUCGGCCCAUGAAGAGGCCCAACUAAUAGUCUUUGCACAGUAUUCAUUGUGCAGCGGCCUUCGCACGAUCUUCUGAGCUGUUUCACCCAAGACGACAUCAUUUGUUGUGUAAAGGCCGCCUGCCGCUGCUCUUGGUACAGAGGCUCCAGUCAGUUGUUUCAUCGAUGAUGGCGCCACUCGUGGUGCAAAGGCUUCUUGCCGUCGUUCUUAGUGCAAACACUUAUGUCGGCUGUUUCACUGAUGCCAGCGUCACUCAUUAUGCGAAGGCUCCUUACUCCAUUCUUGGUGCGAAGACUUCUUGGUGCGACUGGACUUGACUUUGUCAUAUGGAGCCUCUUCAGGGGUGUGGGCCUAUAUAUUACAUAUGGGCUCUCCCAACAAUCUAUAUUUUUCUGUAACUAAAUGGAAUAAUUCAUAGUUUCAGUUUCUAUAGCCUAAGGCCCCGUUUGGUUCAUCACGGUAAUCUUUAACUAAUGUCACAUCAAAUGUUUGAACACAUGCAUAGAGUACUAAAUAUAGAUUAUUUACAAAACUAAAAACAUAUCUAGAGAAUAAUUUGUGAAACGAAUCUUUUGAUCCUAAUUAGUCCAUGAUUAGAUACUAAUUGUCAAAUAAAAUGAAAAUUCUACAAUACUUGUUAAACUUUAGCACCUCCAACCAAACAGGCUCUAAAUGUGAUGAACUUUUUACAGUGGGCUAAUUAUUGUAUACUUAAAGUGUAGUAAAAAUUUUAUACUCAUGACAUCAUGGUUAUAGAUUUUAUUUAGGUUUGUGUUUGUUAAAUAGAAACCUAAAUCACUAUUGUGCGGUUGGGUCACACUUUGCCUGCUCUGUUUGGAGGUAGCCCAAGGUCUCUAUUUCUUCGGCUCCGGCUCCCAAAUCACUAUUGUGUAUUGUUCACCACUGUGCAGCAGAGGAAGAACAACUCUGAUCGGAAAUUAUCUCCUGCAAAAGUGUGUUUACCGUGAACCCUCCUUCUGGCCUCUUCAAUUUACCCCUAUCAGUCCAAGCCUUUGCUCAAUUUCAAGUGUUGCAACAAAUCACACAAAAUCUAGCUCCCAACAACAAUUUAGAUAUCUGGUCCUAUAUUUGGGGAAAUACUUCUUUCAUAUCCAAACAGGUCUAUAAUCAUUUAAGGGGAAGCAAUGUGAUAGUUCCAAUCUUCAGCUGGAUUUGGAAGUCUUCUUGCCAACCAAAGCACAAGGUGUUCUUCUGGCUCUUUGUGCAGGAAGGGUCAGCACCAGAAAUUUGCUGAAAAGGAAGCAUAUGUUCCUCUCAUCUUACAACUGCAUCUUGUGCAAUGCAAACUUUGAAGAAACUGUGUAUCAUUUAUUCUUGGAAUGUAACCUUUCCAGAGAUUUCUGGGCUUUAAUUGGCCUAACGUUGAUUAGCUCUCCUGACCUGAUCCAAAGAUUUGAAAGUCUUAAAUCACAAAUUGCGGAAAACUUCUUCAUGGAAAUUAUUAUCAUCAUGUGCUGGAGCAUUUGGACUGUUAGAAAUGAUGCCAUUUUCACAGGUAUUCCACCCAGCAGCCUUCGUGGCUUAGAAAUCUUUCGGAACAUCUUCAAGCAGCCACCUAUUGAGUUAUGGCUAGAGCAAGUUGUAUAAUUUUCUUAAUUUUCUUUGUUUCUUUCUUUGUCUUCUGAAUCUUUUCCUUUCUUCCUUCUCCCUUUUAAUUUGAAUCCGUAAUGUGACUUGUGGUGGGCUUUGGUUAUGAAUAAAUUCCCCAGUAGAGGUCCCUCAGACCUCUCCUGUUCGUUCAAAAAACUCCGAUAGGAAGAAAAAAAACUGCGAAAGUAAGGAACCAAAGGAGCUUCAGUUUUAAGGAUUCUCUCUCUCUUCGAAAAAAGCUUCUCUCGGGCUACUACAGUAACACGGCCUUAAGAUUACAAAUCCAAAGACAAACUUCUUUAAUAGCAUCAGACAAGUUGGCAACAUGCAAAAACUAAUAAGCACAUCCACCCAGUGGCGGAGCUAGAGCAAAUCCAAGGGGGGUGCACUUGCCUUUUAUGGGUGCAAGACUUUGUGACAUCUGGGUGUAAAUAUAGUGAAAAUUUAGCAUUUACUACUGUUUUUUUAUUUUUCUCUAGGUGCGGCCGCACCCAAUGUGUUGACUAUGGAUCCGCCCAUGCAUCCACAACAUGGUCAAUCAUUUCUUGAUCUUACCAUACAGAUACAGACAGUCCUUUCUUAUACCACACAUACAUAUACGUAUGACAGUAUAUUAUAAGAACCAAGCAGGCAAGCACGUCCUCUGACAUCCACAUCCUGCAGACCUGCACAACAACUGAUGUCGCAGAUGAAGGAUGAAGUCUAGCAACCGCCGCCGCCGCCACCACCACCACCUCCACCUCCACCACAGCCCCCUCCAGCACCGCUGGCACCACAGGCGGUGCCAACGCCGCUAGCUGCUGCAGCUGCUCCAGUGCUAGCACCGCUGUAUCUUGGUCGUCUCGGGCUGUUUGAGCUGUCGCCACAGAGGAGGACGGCGAGCGUGAUGGCCCAGACGGAGAGCAUGGCCACGCCGAGCACGGCGAGCCAUGGCGGGCCGAAGGCAGCUGCGGCAGCUGCUCCACCGCCAUAGGUGAGAGCUCUUGCCAUACCGUGAACACUCAACACGCAAGCGUUAGGCAGUAGUGCGAGCUCAAUCUAUAUAGCUGGACGAGACGUGCAGAGUUAAGCUAGCCUAUAUAUAUAACUCAUCGGAUCGAUCGCCCAGUCGGUCGCGGCGAUUACAUUAAGCCGCACUUGUAAUUAGGAAAUAAAUUAAUAUAUACUCUACACGCAAUCGAAAUCAUAGGCUCGCCCGCCGUCGGUGUCAGAGGCUCGCAGUUUUGCUUGCAAAAACCGGUAUUCUGUUGGAAAUGACGGUGUAGAUAUGUUUAUUUUUCCUCACUUCUUUAUCUUCCCGGACACGGGACGCCUUCUUGUUUGGUUCCAUGCGGACUUGUGAAGCACCGAUCUAUGCGUCAUCGAGCAUACUCACCACGUCGUUGUUGCUAUGGUAUUUACGAUGAUCAAACAUUCUUAAAUUUAACUAAAUUUAUAAAAAUUAUUGAUAAUAUUUUUUAUCUCUAAAUAAAUUUAUUGUAAAAGCAGAUUCAAUGAUAUAUUUACUUAUACUAAUUAUAUGCUAUAAAUAUUUUUUUAUAUAUAUUUGGUUAAAGUUAAAAGAAUUUGAUAUUUAGAAAACGAGAAUGAUAGUUAUUUAGGCCUUGUUCAGUUGGUGAAAAUUUUUGGUUUUAGGUACUAUAGCACUUUCAUUUAUAUUUGAUAAUUAUUAUCUAAUUAUGAAUUAACUAGGUUUAAAAAAUUCGUCUCGUAAAUUACAGACGAUCUAUACAAUUAGUUAUUUUUUUAAUUUAUAUUUAGUGCUCCAUGCAUGUGCCACAAAAUUUGAUGCGAUAAGAAAUCUAAAAAUUUUUGAGAACUAAAUAAGGCCUUAGGACAAAGGGAAUUACUUUGGAAGUGGUCAUAGUCAAUACGACAAUACAUGCGUUGUUCUCGAGGACUUUGAAAGUCAAAAUCCAUCGAUUGGAAACAUCCUGGCAACCAAAAAUAUCACGAGUCACAUGAAAAUAGCACAUGACUGAGGGACAUGUAGCUACAUCAUUAAAACAUAUUGCAACAUCUCAAAACACCAUAUGAAACAUGAGAGAAAAGCCUUUUUUUUAAGAAACUGGAGGGGGCUACAGAUAUUAUAUAUAAAACGAACAAAGGAAGGGGUACAGCAGGGUUCAUGGAGUUCCAGAAACAAGAAAAGAGAGGAAGAAAAUAGCUCUGACUAGCAAGCUUAUAACAGAUUUUGGAGCCAUAAAUCAAAAUUAGUAGAGAGUCUUGACUUAACUCUUAGGGAAACCUGGGAGCUAGUUCCCUUGCAAAGUGCCUUUUUCGACUCCAUGAUGUUUGGUUGGAUUCCUAUGAAAAUAAGGUCAUUCCUCACACCCCAGAUUGUCCAACUCAUGAGGAUGACUGCCACCAUGAAGAAAGCCGAGUGAAGCUGAUCUUUUAGGAGUAUGACAAUUUCUAGGAAAGCUCUUAGGGGAUGAAGUCAAAUCAAAGCAGACCCAGCACGCCAUAGCAAAGGGGCAGUUGAGGAGAAGUGAUCACGAGUUUUUUUCUACGUCAUUUUGGCAAAGCACUUAGCUGUAGGAUUCUAGAAACAUGUUUUUCCUUCUUAGAAUGCAAUAGAGAAUUACUGCAAUGUAAUUGUAAUAGAGAAAAACAAUUGUAGCUCCUCCAAAUUAAACGAAAAUAUCAAACAAAAAAACUAUUAACAUCUUGAACCAAUAAUAUGCAAAAUUUAAAAUAAAAGAGAUGAAACAUCUCAAACCAUAGGAGAAAUCAUCUUACCGCAUCUGAUCUGAAAGGGGCCAGAUAAUUAUCUAGAGUUUGAAUUCUUCUAGGGAUCUUUGUUAUUUCUAAACUGAAAGAGUGCAUCAGGGCUGAUGCUGUGAAAGAAAGUGAAAGAUGAUGAGGUACUCUAGGCAUGUGCUUUGGAUGGAUUUUUUUUUUCUGCCAUUAGUCUCUGUACGCUCAUUUCUUCAGGAGAUCCGAGUUGUUUUUCUUUUCUGUUGAACUGCUUAGCUCUAUUGUGUACUCAAUCUAUCAUGUAUCUUGCAAUUUUCAGAACCCACCUAUGUGUGUAAUUGUUAUUGUACUUUGUGAUUGAUGCUUCCCCUUGGAACAUGUCUUGCUCUACAAAUUCUGAUAUCUGAACAUGGCAUGAUUGCUACUCAUCUCAGUCUGUCGUGAAAAAACAGAUAUCUAAACUGGUGUUUGCAUUUGUUGGUUGUCCGGAGGUGAGAGUGAGACCCCGCAAGGCAAUGCAACAUUUUUGCAAAAUUUUUCAGAUUCCCCGUCACAUCGAAUCUUUAGACGCAUGCAUGGAGUAUUAAAUAUAGACGAAAAUAAAAACUAAUUGCAUAGUUUGGUCGGAAUUGAUGAGAUGAAUCUUUUGAGCCUAGUUAGUACAUAAUUGGACAAUAUUUGUCACAAACAAACGAAAGUGCUACAGUACCUAUUUUGCAAAAUUUUUUGGAACUAAACAAGGCCCAAGAAGCUUCGAUCUUGUAAAGCAUCUUUAGGGUCCUUGGAGCUGGCAUCUGCGACAACGGUGGUAUUGUUGUGGGCUUGUAGCAAAUGAUUUGUUCCUCAAUUCGCUGGAUGUUUCUGGCAUGAUUGGUGCCUCUAAAUGCUUAGGGCCUGGCUGAACUUCAAGGCCAGGCCAGCCAGACACCCAGAGCCUGAUUUAGCGCAUGCACCUGCACAUGUUUGUUUUAUUGACCCGUUGAGCCAAGUGCACCAGGGAUGCUGGUUGGUCAGUAAAUUCAGUCGUUUGUUGCCAAUGACAGAUACAGAGCGUUGUGUCCCCCGAGUGGCCGAGUGUCGUCGCUUCUAUUGAGCUAGACCGGCUGUGGCUAGAAACGAAGGAAAUUUUCAUUUAAAAUAUAGCGCGAAGCCAACCUCAGAGCAACCUUUUGCAUCUACAAGAACAGGCCAUCCAGUUAACCAAACACACAAACCAUCCUGAUUGGGCGCGCUACUCUCUUUUUAGAUCGCGGCUUAUUUUUGAGUAAUUAACUUUAGAACUCUCAACCACUGCAGCGGUCUGCUGAGAGGGUCAACGAGGUAGAGCCUCUCACGCACGCUUGUAUGGGGGUCGCUUGACCCCCACAACCCUUUCCUCUUAAUUAAUGAUGUGCCGAGCAACUGGAUCUUUCAAAAAGAAAAAAACUCAGUUGUGUCCGGCUUUAUGGAGAGAGGUACAUUAGGAACCUUGCAUCCUGAUUGAGCUACUGCUACUCAGUUAACAAAUGGGCUGGUGUGGUCACUGCUUAUACCUUGUUGAUUUGACACAGGGACUCAGGGUGCAGCUAAUAAUCUGAAGAGCAUUGACUCAGAUCGAAACGGCUACAAAGCUACUUUGGAUAUUGAUGAAAACAGUGGCACGCAUGACCAUUCUUAAAGUUAAUGAAGUGCUUACACUUGGAUAAACAAACAGUGAAAUCAAAUUUAACACUUAACAUCCUCGCCUGCAAACCUAGAGAGCCAUCAAUCGAAGAGCUUGCGUAUAGAUAAGAUUACGAAUUCAAAGACGAUCUUCCUUGCAUUAUUUUAUUAUUAUAUAUCAUGCUAAUAUAUAGCACCAGCAGAGAAGUUCACAACAAGCAAAAACAAAUAAGCACAUCCAUAAUACGGACAGUCCUUUGUAUAUAUAUGACAAUUGACCUGCACAACACAACAACUGAUGCCGCUGACGCAUCGGAUGCAAUGAACUCUAGCAACCGCCGCCACCACCACAGCCCCCUCCCCCUCCACCGCCACCGCCACCGCCACAGCCGCCCCCUCCGCCAUCGCCCCCUCCACCUCCACCACCUCCGGAGUAUCUUGGUCGCCGUCUCGGUCCGUUAGAGCUGUCCCCACAGAGGAGGACGGUGAGCGUGAUGGCCCAGACGGAGAGCAGGGCCACACCGAGCACCAUGAGCCACGGCGGGACGAAGCCAGCUGCGGCAGCUGCUCCACCGUAGGCGAGAGCUCUUGCCAUGUUGUGAAGAGCGAACACACAAACACACAAGGCGUAGGCAGCAGGGCUCUACUGUCAACAGAAGGAUGAGACGCGCAGAGCUAGCUAGGCACUUAGGCAGGCUAUAUAUAUAUAUAUAUAUAUAUAUAUAUAUAUAUAUAUAGCAGUAUAUAGCACCAGUAAGUCAUCUCAUCUGAUUGGCCGGUUGGUCGCGGCGAUUAUUAAGCAGGCAGUUUAUAUAUAUUAAGGCCUUGUUUAGUUCAAAUUUUUUUGGAAAAUCCACACCGUAGCACUUUCGUUCGUAUUUGACAAAUAUUGUCCAAUCAUAGACUAACUAGGCUCAAAAGAAUUGUCUCGUCAAUUCCGACCAAAUUGUACAAUUAGUUUUUAUUUUCGUCUAUAUUUAAUACUUCAUGCAUGCGUCUAAAGAUUCGAUGUGAUAAGGCCUAAAAAAUUUUUGCAAAACUUUUUAGAACUAAACAAGGCCUAAGCAGGCUAUAUAUAUAACGUUCUGCACGCAAUUGGAAAGUGGAUAGGAUAGUAAUGGACCUUGGCUCGCCAUCGGUGUCAGUCAGACAGCAAAAACUACGAGCAACAUGAGGGUGCUUGAGGAAACUGUUAUUUGUGUUGGAAGUCACCGCUGCUACAGAUUUUUAGAAACGUUUCUAUUUUUUUACCAGGGCGGUUUUGUCAAAAUCCUCCUUUAAAAAUGGUUUAUGAGCCAAUCUAGCCGUAGAAGUUAAUUUUUAAUUUAGAGACGGCUAGAAAGCUUAGCUGACUCUACAAAUAUCCUCUAUUUUUAAUCGCCUCUAUAAAUGUAGAGGCGGCUGGAAAGUUCAAUUGCCAGUGAAAGUAUUAUUUCUAGAGAUAAAGAAAUAGAGGCAUUUUUAGAGUUAGCUUCAAAUUUUAUUCGUCUCUUUUAAAGACGGUUAGCAAUUUGGCGCGCCUCUAAAAAUAGAAGCAGCACAAUAACAUUUAUAAUAUUUUAAAAUGAAGAUGGAUGAAAACAAACUUUGUAUUAAAGUUGUAUUAUUUGAAGAGAUCAAUAACCUUAUAGUUGACAACUUUUCAUUUAAAAUCAUUUAAGACUAAAAAAUUUAUUUUAAGUUUUCAUAAUCUAAAAUUAUUUUUUAGUUUUUUUUCAAAUGACCUUAUUUUAAGUUUUUAGAUUUUGAUUUUUUUUUUAAAAAAAAAGUUUCUGAUGAUCUCAGAUAAAAAAAUGAUCUAAAUUAAAUUUAUAGUACUCCAAGAUAAACAAUUAGCUGUUGACUUUUAAUUUCAAAAUCAUUUAGGCUCUUGAGUUUGACCUUGCAGCUGUGUACGCGCAAAAAUAGGUGUAUAACGCGUGGCUUGGGUCAAACCGCCGCCUCUACAAACUCAUGACACGCGGUGCUGAUGUGUUUUCCUUUCCUCACUUGCUUAUCCCAGACGCCUUCUCUUGACUGGUCGACCUGUGAUUUGUGAAGCACCGAUGCCCGAUCGAUCGAUGGAGUUGCAUACAUUAUGAAGCAUAUAGCGGUUGGAUGUGGUCAUAGUCAAAUUUGGAGAGCAGGCAGUUACGAAGAAAUUUGGAGAGCAGGCAGUUACCUUAGAACAUGUCUUUCUCUCUACAAAUGCUGAUAUGGGAACCUGGCAUUACUACUCAUCUCAGACAGUAGUGAAAGGUACUGCAUUUUGUGUGACACUGGGAGCUGUACCCUCUAGCGUCCAUGGAGAGGCCAAUUGUGGUAUGGCUGUAGGCUUGUGGUAACUGUCAAAUGGUUUCUUCAUGAGUUCGCGGCCUGGCUGAACUUCAGGGCUAGGCCACAUCUGCUAAUUGUCAUCUUUUUGUUUCCAUACCGUAAAUUUGACUAGAUUUAUAGAAAAUACGUACAACAUUAGUAUCUUUAAAUAAAUUUAUUAUGAAAAUAGAUUCAACAAUGUAUAUAAUGAUAUUAAUUAUGUACCAUAAUUAUUAAUAUUUUUAUAUAAAAUUAGUCAAUGUUAUUUUUUGAGAAGCAAGAACAACAGUUAUUUAGGAACUAAAGGGAGUAUGUAUCUUCAAAUAGCACAUGCUGCAUUGCAUACUUAACUUCACGUCUUUACCUUCCUCUCCCAUCAUAUCCCCUGGUUUUAGCAAUUAGCAUAAGCAAAAGCAGCUUGCAGCUAGAUCGUCAUUCAACCAAACGACCCAUCAGACACUAGGAUCACAUGUUCAAUAAGCCUAAUCUCAGCCAUAGAUGAAAUGUUUACCCAAAUUAGAUCAAGUAUAGUUUAUGAUUCGGCUCAUAAAUGUCAAUAAAAAAAUAUGAAGUUCUAAUCCAUGUCACUAAGCCUAAAUAAAGAUUGGAUCUAAAUUUAGUCGUCAACAUAUGUCCCUCUGUUUUUUUUCUGACAAAUCUCACGUACAAAAAUAAUAUCUAGUCUUACUCUAAGCCAAAGGACGACCAUAUUUAUAUUUUCUUAAGGGCCAGAAAACUUACCAGCUAUAGUUAGGAGUUACUCUCUCUUACUCUAUCCACCAAAGUAUGCAUAUCCAAAAUAAAUAAGAAACAAUCUAUUUCGGCUAGCGGCAAAAACUGUAACUAAUCAAAUGAACAAUAAUUUGGUAACCAUCUCUGUAAUAUAUCAUCCAAGGAUCAUAAGUAGGCCAUGAGAGGUAACCAAACAUAUCUUGGUAUGGAUUCAAUGACAUGAUUUUGUGGCAUGGUUAUGGAAUAUGGAUGAUGUGCAAACCGAAGAUCUUAAUGGUUUGUAGCAAACCUUUGGCUUAACUGUUUGUUUGAUCUUCUCUCCUCUUCAGCUGUGUUGAACCAUCUGCACUAGAUGGUUGCACGUUACUCCUAUCUUUUUUUUUUUUGACAAGGCACGUUACUCCUAUCUUGACUGCUCUUCUUGAGAACCCAUGUCACCUUCUUCUUUACCUUUGUAACUUUUGCUCCUUUCCAACUUGAUAAAAUGAAUGGACAUCUCGGCUUUGAUUUUGAUUUUGGUAAUGGCAAUUCUUUCUUGAUCUUGGAUCCAAAUUGUUGUCAACAAGAAGUACUUUGCUUCUUGAUCCGUAUAUAUAUGAACAAAUUACUACUCCCUCCAUCUUAAAUUAUAAGUCAUUCCAAGAAUCUUGGAGAGUCAAAACAUCUAAGUUUGACCAAAUUUAUAUGGUAGGAUAAUAACAUUUAUGAUAUCAACUAAGUAUCAUUAGGUUCUUUAUUAAUUAUAUUUUCAUAGUAUAUCUAUUUGAUGCUACAAAACUUCAUAAUUUUUUUUAUAAUUUAGAUAUUUUGACUCUCUAAGAUUCUUAGAAUGACUUACAAUUUAGGAAGGAGUAAUAUCUUGCAUUGGCUGUUAAUGGAACAACGUGUGGUCCACUCGAUUCUCAUAACCACGUCCUACUCAACCUCAACCACCACGAGAAUGCAAUAUGAAAAUAGACCCCACGGUGGAAGACGUCCCAAACAGUGGUGAAGCAAGAUUUAGAUUUAUGGGGCAAAUGUCAAUAGGGGGCUGAUCAUUUAUCCUUUAAUUGUUAUGUAUUAAUUAUGUAGUAGAUUAGCUAAAUCAUAAAGCGUUGUAUCAGAAAGUAGCAAAGUUAGGAGGCGGGUCCUUCCAGCCUCCUUUCUAUGCUACUGGUCCCAAACAUAGUCUUAUGUAUACAAAAUGACGUGCUAUUAUAUGCAAAAUGAAUUGUUACGCAGAUAUGAGCAUGGUCCGGCGUAUGUAUACAAAAUGACUUGUUGCGCACCAGUGCUAUAAUUUUACUUUGUGGUGAUGAAAUUAUCCUGCUCUCCUGUCGUGUACGUAAUGCCGACGGCAAGAGAAUGCGCAGCGAAUGCAGCUCGAGCACUAGACCUUCACAGGCGAACGUCAGGGAAUGAAUGUCUGGGUCCACAAGUCAGAUACUAGAAAAGGUUGUGCCGACAGCACUGUACAUCUCGAGUCAAGCAACAGAACAAGUUUGGCGCAAGGAUAUAUGCAUCUGCUUAUAAAACCCACUGACGCAAGAGUUGAAAAAACAAAACUCCCCAAACUUAUAAAACCCAGAAGCACAAAUAUUCAUACCAGGCUGACUAAAAAGCUAGCUAGUACCCCUCCAAGUGCAUCUGAUUCAUGAGGCUCACAGGAUCUUACAUGAUACAUGGUUUCCUAACACUUGCAUUACCAUAACAAACCUAGGCCAGGGAAUGAAGCUCAUGACUGAAUAGGCUUGACCUUGAAGUGGAGACUGAUCAGCGAAAACACAAAACACUUUAGAUCCUGCGAAAAAAAAAACACCAGGGGAAAACGUAAGCAAUGUAGAUCUCAUUUACAAUGCUGACAAAAAUUAGUUUCCACAAGAAUUUAAACCAGACAGUCUAGGAUGCAUCCACCUCACUUCAUGCUUUUGGAUUACAUUCAAAUUAACCCCAUGGCAAUGAUCCAUAUUCUAUAAUGUGCUCAAAAUGGAAAUGAUCUGCUAUGCAAGCUAAGAAGUUUUGAGCAUGUAUCAACAGUUCAACACAUAUAAAAACAUCUACACAGUAAGUUUAGAGUCUUUGCUGAGCAUGUGGCAGUUUAGAGUUUUCACAUAUCUUACUGGCAAGUUUCAGAUACAACAAACAAUUUUAGCACCGAUUUUAUCUAACAUGAAGUUAUUCCAUGAAACAAGUAUUGACAUGCCAAUAAUGCUUGAGGUAAUAAAGACCUCAAUUAAUUCUAGUGUGUGUAAAUCAAAGCAACUAGCUAAGUUCAAAGAAUAGCAUCAUUCAUCAGCUAAGUUUCUGAGGGCGGUUGCCAGUUGGUAUAGAAACAUAAAAAAUCAAUGUUUCCCCUGCAUCUGGUUUGCACUUAAUAAUGAUGAUUAUGUCAAGACUACUAAAGGCUAAGAGUGCAAGUUGUAAAGUGUGGAGCCAGAUAUGCUUCCUCAAUAGGAAACGAAAUAAAAUGUUUCUGAGCAGUACCCAAAAUGCCCAGGAAAAAAACGUGACCCAUGCUGAAAACACUGAAUAUGCCACAUCAAAACAGCUAGAUAUUUUUUUUUAUUCUUCUUUUCAUUUUAAGAAAAAAUAAAGAACAAAGUUUGCUCCAAAAUUCCAAAACAAAGUUAGGCAUCCAAACAGGUAAGUCAAACUAUAUAAAAAAACUAUUUCGUUAGGUAAUCUGUAAUCAGUACAUGUUACGUGGAUGUAUGGCCAAAUGGUUGGCAAGAAACAGUCUUCCUCAGGGUGUACUAUAUUCGCGUUCAGCAUUUACUUUCUACUAAAGUUUUCAUCAUUUAGUACAUAUAUAUAUAGUGAGAAAAAACUUAUUGUUAGGUUUAAAUUUUACCUCCAGACCAAUAAGAGCCACUAAGAUUAGUAAUUGAUUCAUAUAUAUCUCAAAAACACUUGAUUCGAACACUAAUCAGUUCUACUUGCUCAACAGUCAACACCAACACUAUUUUAACAACAAGAGAAUAAGAUUUCAAUCGAUUUAUCCAAUGCACACAAAUCUGCAACUAAGAAACCGAAAAAGAUGACCAAAUGACAAAUCUCAGAAUUCUGACUGCAGGAUGAUAAUUCUGGGUGACAUUACACUAUCGAACCUACCGGUGACCUGCUUGCUCUGCUCAGUUUAGCUAAUCAAAUGAACAAGUACCUAUCACUGUCAUCUCAACUAUAUAUACUAUGAUUUGAAUAUCGUUGGCACCUAAAACUACAAUGCACGGCAAGGAAUAAAAGAACAUAAUGGUUAGGAGGGUUGGGAUAAAAACCUGGACCAAGUAGUAGAAGAUGCGUAGGCCAUCUGGGUCUCUGCUUCCCACAACAUCGACAAGGGAUCCAAUCUUGGAGGUGGUGAAUGAGAUGUGCUCAUUGCCCAUAACGAUUUCGAGCUCCUGCCUGCCAAUGUAGUUGGGCUCGGGCCAGUUUCUGUCAUCCUCCCUCAUAAUCUGCGAUGGGUGUCAAGCAAUCAAUCAAUCAAAGCGACCGAGGCCUCUGUCAUUAGCUCCAAACCCUAGCUAAUUAUAGGUUUUCCGGAGAGAUUGAGGACCGAAUCGACGAGAAGUACAAGGAGAGGCGAACUCACAUCGGACUGCUGGAUGAUCCUCCUCGCCUCGCGGAGGGCGGAGCGGGAGACGAACACCUCCUUGCGGAUCAUGGUGUCGUUCUUGUAGUUGGAGUUGUUGGCGUAGCGGAGCUUGCCGUCGGGGCGGAACUCGAACUCGAGGAACUCGUGGCCGAACUUGCCCUUGUGCCCCACGUAAUACCGCAGGUAGAACUCGUCGUCGCCGCCCCUGCGGUUCUCGCCGCCGCGCGCCGACAUUGCUGUUGCUGAGCGAACGACACGACUUGCUUGGGCUGCUCUUUCGUUUUUGUUUUUUUUUUUUCCCUUUCGCGUUUUUUUUUUUGGGCCUCGGGCUCUCGGAUUGGGUUUUUAGCAGCCGCAACGCGCUCGCCUCUUCUUAUUUGUUUCUCUUUGUAUCGGAAUCGGACUCGUGUUGGCCUCCGUUUGGGCUUUUGACAGGGGUUGGUCUCUUAAAUCAGGCCCAUUUUGUAGCAUUAACAAAGAAGCCCAUAUAUAUUAUUAUUUGACGGAAAAAAUCUAUUUUACCUACCUCAACUAUCACAAAAGUCCACUAAAAAGACUAUCACAAAAGUCAGUUUUUCCUCCCUCAAACAAUUUUAAAACUAAAAAUAGUUACUUCCCUCAUCUCUCAAAACCGAUCACUUAACCAUCAUGAUUGUUCCCUGGGUGGGUUUUUUUCUUUAUGUUUAUUUCAGCUGAAUUUUUAAAAAAUCAUAGUAGAUCAAGAAAAAUCAUAAAAUAGAAAACUCAACGGUGUUGGACUCCAUAUUAGUUAGAUCUACAUAGUAAAUAUAUGACAUGGUAUAUUUUAGUGCAAAAUUUUUGUUGUAACUUUAUAUCUAUGUUUUUAUAUAAUUAAUUCAUAGUUGUGGCUUCUCUUGUCCAAUUGUAGUGAAAAUUUUAUGGUGGACUAAUCAUCGCAUUCUUGAGUUGUAGCAAAAAUUUCAUGCUCAUUAGAUCAUGUAUGAUUGAGCUAUAGAUUUAUCUAAGUUUAUAUUUGUUAAAUAUUUUUUAAAUGAUUGAGUUAUAGACUUACCAGGAAGGUUGUAGAGUAGAAAAAAUAUACAGGAACAGGCAGCCACAACUCUGCCACGGCGCCCUAGGGCAGGUCUAUGACUCUGACCAGGAAAGUCUUCCAGUGAAGCUUUCAACAAAGCCAUCCACCCAGCGACUUCAACCUCUUGAACCCUGCCGUGCUUCGUAGAUGAGCCAUGGGAUCCGAAUUUUUUUUAAUUUUGACAUUGUAGCACUUUCAUUUUUAUUUGACAAACAUUGUCCAAUCAUGUGGUAACUAGGCUUAAAAGAUUCGUCUCGCGAUUUACAGGUAAACUAUACAAUUAGUUUUUGUUUUCAGCUAUGUUUAAUGUUCCAUGCAUGUGCCACAAGAUUCGAUAUGACGGGAAAUCUUAAAAAAAUUUGGUUAUUGGGAUGAACUAAACAAGACCCUAACUGUAUAUUGAAAUAUAUAACUUCUCCUUCCAUUCCAAAAAAAACAUAUAGACAGCAAACCUGCAAUAAAUAUGCCUUCUGCUGGAAAUAAUGACCUUAUAUUUAAUGUUUCAUGCAUGUGCCACAAGAUUCGAUAUGACGGGAAAUCUUAAAAAAAAAUUGGUUAUUGGGAUGAACUAAACAAGACCCUAACUGUAUAUUAAAAUAUAUAACUUCUCCUUCCAUUUCAAAAAAAAAACAUAUAGACAGCAAACCUGCAAUAAAUAUGCCUUCUGCUAGAAAUAAUGACCCCUGGAUGAAUGAACAGCAUCACUUGCAUUCUUUCACGGUGUAAGCGAUUGUGUAGCACGCCCAUUGACACAUGGAUAGGAUCAGAAUCCGGAAUGCAAUAACUCAGCUUCCUAUAAAAGGAAAUUCACCCUUACUUCACCGGCCUAUAAUCCUGGCCCUGUUUGGUUUCUCUUGCUAAAUUUUAGCUAAUUAAAUUUUAAGUCUUGUUUAGUUCACUCUAAAAACUAAAAAGUUUUCAAGAUUCUCCGUCACAUCGAAUCUUUUGACAUAUGCAUGAAGCAUUAAAUAUAGACGAAAAUAAAAAAUAAUUGUACAGUUUAUCUGUAAAUUGCGAGACAAAUCUUUUGAUCCUAGUUAGUCUAUGAUUGAACAAUAUUUGUCACAAACAAACGAAAGUGCUACAGUAGCGAAAUCCAAAAUCUUUUCCAUCUAAACAAGUCCUUAGUCACUUUAGUAGCUAAAGUUCCAAACACAUUGAUUAAAAGGAGCUAAAAUAGUUUAGUUUCAUUAGUUACCCAAGAGUAGCUAAAAUAAUUUUAGCUAGCUAAAAUUUAGCAAAGGGAACAAGACAGACCAUUGCCAUGGGGUGGCGACGUGCUGCAUGCAAUGGCGAAGUUAGCUAGAGCAAAUUAGAGAAGAAUGUAAUUACCUUGUAAAUGCAUAGACAUGUAUCACGAGAGGGUGUAGUAUAUGUGUGGUGAAAUUUUUACCAAACUCAUUGAUUUUGCAUUUUAUUAGGGGUGCAUGUGCGCCUCCUAACCAUAAUAGUGUAGCUUCGCCCCUGCAUGCAAGUGAACUGCAAAGUAAGGAAAGACAAGGUUGACAUGCCAUGCCACCCGUGUCCCAUGAUGACUGACGAGCACGGAUGUGCAGUUCACUGUUUACCCUUCCAUGUACAGGCCUACAGCACCUGCUGCAGCCUCACAGCGACCAACAAUUGGCCUCGUUUAGUUCGCAAAAAAUUUCAAGAUUCUCCGUCACAUCGAAUCUUUGGUCGCAUGCAUAGAGCAGUAAAUAUAGACGAAAAUAAAAACUAACUGCACAGUUUACCUGUAAUUUGUGACAUGAAUCUUUUGAGCCUAGUUACUCUAUAAUUAGACAAUAUUUGUCAAAUAAAAACAAAAUGCUACAGUAUCUAAAAACAAAAAAUUUUGCAAACUAAACAAGGCCAAUGUUUUGGUGCAGGCCGUAGCAAUGCGAAGCAAUGCCCAGUAUCCUAGCUAUGCGUAUGGAGCCAUGUGGACCCUGAACUUGCGAGUUCAAGUGUCUGCUGAAGAUACCUUGAUCCCAUCGCAUACUGUGCAUUGACCCUAUGAUUGAGAGAUGCUAAUUGGUGCGGGAGUUCUUAUUAGCAUUGUGAACUGUGGCUGAUUCCAGUUCAGCUUUUCUUUCAUUCUACAAGGUAACAAGGAUUUAGUACAGUAUAAUUUCACAGUUCACUUCGAUCAAGUACUGUACAUGUUUAUCGAGAGUUCAGUGUGGUUAGCAGUUUCCCUGUCAAGAGUAGCUGCAUGUUGUGCCUCAACUAUAUGCAUGCACGGGGUGACUGCAAAAACGAAUCCCUGCCUGCAUGUGUGUUGCUGCUCCUCUGAGAAUCAAGACAUGGCCCAGGUUUGAGGUUUCUCUGCUGUAAACAGGAGCCUGGGACUGAUGAGCGGACUAUUUAAGACCGGUAAGAAUUCAUCUUAUUAAUUUACCCAAUGGUAAUUAGGUGACGAUAGGUCUUAACUCUUCCAAGAUCAAACUGCAGCUAUAUGGAGAGAACUUUUCGUGUUCGAACUAGGAAGAUGGAUUUCUAAGAGAUUGUUUGGUAAUUUAUAUUGAGAAGGCAGUGCACUAAUUGUUUGGUAAUUUACAUUUUGGAUAAUAUUGUUGCGCUCAUAUGUGACUAUACGUACGCGUUUGGAACUGCAUGCUGCACUAGUUGUCUAUGUACUUGCCCCUGGCCUGUACCUAAUUUCUUGCUCCGUUCCUAGCUGAAAUGCUCAUAGGCUUGUGUAUCUACGGCUGCACGCUGCCUAGGGCAAGAGCUUGAAUUGAAAGAACAAGAGGCUCGCUUUAGCCCUUCCUCCUCGGCGGUUUUCACUUUUCACCGGUUGGGUCAUACAGCUGUGCGUGCCUAAGCGACUCUGAUCCUAACCAUGCAAUUCCUGUAUGGAUUCCUUUGGAUUGGACGCCCCCUGGCUAGGAAUUUGACUCUGACCUCAGUACAUGACUUGUCGACCACUGAACGCGUCAUAGAACAUGGGUACUAGCUCGAUUCACUUUUUUUUUCUUUCAAAAUCGUGCAAUUUAAUUCUCAUACAAAUACAGUAUAGCUUUGUUAUGCAAAAUGGCAAAGGUAGUAGAUCUCGUUCAUACUCAUUUCGAGGGAGGAAACACAGUUACAUUAUCAGCCGAAUUUGUGACGAUAAUUCGGCGAAAGGUCUCAUGAACAAUAUACAUAUCAUCAGCUACUAAAACAAAGCACAACAGGCGAAGACAGAAACACUGGUUCCAAUAAUCAUCAUGCUAGCACUGUUAUUCUAGUUCUACAGUUGUAGUAACUAGGGCCCGUAGCAUAUAAAGAGCCCAACGAUCAAGAACAUGGCAAUAAAUCCCGUCGCGAACCCUAGUGCCCCCGCCACCAUCUGCAUCUGCGCAAUAGUCAGCGGACGGCGGCUGCGCUUGGACAGGGUGGCGGCGGGCGCCGGCGCCGGCGCCGGCGUCGGAGCGGCGCUGAUGAUUUUGUUGAGGGGAUCUGCGACGCGCACGAGCACGACCAUCCGCUGGCCCGCCUCGCAGCGCGCCGGCGCGCCGCUGAUGAAGUAGAAGAGGCCGGGGCGGGCGAGCGUGAACUGGGUGUCGCCGCCGUCCGCGAAGAACCGGCGCACCGGGCUCGCCGCGCUGCACCGGUCGUAGUCGCCCUGCCGCACCAGGAGGACCGAAUCGCUCCAGCGCUUGAAAUCUGGACGCGGACCGGGCGGACCCGUACGUACGUACGUGCGUCAAAAGUGGCACGCAAAUAAGGCACAAGACAAGAACCAGCAUGAUUAAGAUUAAUCCUAGUCGGCGUUGCUAGCUAGCUUGCUCGGAGUGCCCCAGAGCAUGCAGCUUACCCAGGACGUCGCCGACGUAGAAGCUCUGCGUCAUGGCCCACUUGCUGAGCGUCUGCUGGGUGCCGUCGUCGUCGUUGCCCGGCGGCGCCGCCAGCCCCGUCUCGUCGCCGACGCUGUACACCUCCGGUGGCCGUGACGACGACGACGACGACGACGCGGAGGCGGGGAGGAGGAGGACGCCGGCUGCGACUGCGAGGAGGAUGGCGAAGCGGAGGCGGCUCAUGUUGACGCGUGCGCAGAUCGAGCCCGCACGAUGUCAGCUCGCCGCGGCAGACAGCUAGCAGUGUGGGGUUUUGCUGCAGGUGUCCCUUCCCUUCCCGCUUCUGCAGCCUGCAGGUGAGGUGACGGGUACUGCACUGCACGCGUUGGUACUAGGGUGGUACGUCCAGUCCAGGAGAGGAGACCUGCAGGAAGCAUCCUUCCCAGUGCGCGUCGUCCACCCACCAACCUACGGAGUACGACGUAGGAGUACGUACAUGUGAGUACUAGUACGUGACUUAAGCCGACCUCAUUUUACUUUGUGCACCUGCUUGUGUGUUGCUCAUGCGAAAUUUGCAGCAGUAAACAUCUUUAAUUAAUUUUCAGAUCGACUGCACAGCAGUCGUAGUUGCAGACUUGCAUCGCCUGCAGCACAACACUCACUGACUCACUGUCUGGCUGUCUGCACGCUGCUCGGUCAUGGACAGUGAGGCCUUGUUUAGUUCGCAAAAAUUUUCAAGAUUCCCCGUCACAUCGAAUCUUUAGUCGCAUGCAUGGAGCAUUAAAUAUAGAUAAAAAUAAAAACUAACUGUACAGUUUACCUGUAAUUUGUGAGAUGAAUCUUUUGAGCCUAGUUACUCCAUGAUUGGACAAUGUUUGUCAAAUAAAAACAAAAGUGCUACAGUAGCCAAAAACCAAAGUUUUUGCCAACUAAACAAGGCCUGAAUUCGAGCUGCUACUGCUAGCACCUCUUUUCACGAUAAACGAGUGUCGGCCUUGUUUAAUUCCGAAAAGUGAAAAGUUUUCGGUACUGUAGCACUUUUGUUUGUUUGUGACAAAUAUUAUCCAAUCAUGGACUAACUAGGAUCAAAAGAUUCGUCUCGUGAUUUACAGCUAAACUGUGUAAUUAGUUUUUGUUUUCGUCUAUAUUUAAUAUUUCAUGUAUGUGCCACAAAAUUCGAUGUGACGGGGAAUCUUGAAAACUUUUUGGUUUUCAGGGUGAACUAAACAGAGCCUAGUAUACAAUGGGACACAUGACGUUAACAAUAAAGUACUCUAGCUGAAGGCCUUGUUUAGUUCGCAAAAAUUUUCAAGAUUUCCUGUCACAUCGAAUUUUUGGUCGCAUAUAGGUAGCAUUAAAUAUAGACGAAAAUAAAAACUAACUGCACAGUUUACCUAUAAUUUGUGAGAUGAAUCUUUUGAGCCUAGUUACUCCGUGACUGGACAAUGUUUGUAAAAAUAAAAACGAAAUGCUAAAGUACCCAAAAACAAAAAAAAUUGCGAACUAAACAAGUCCCAAGUCUCAACCGUGUCUCUACAGCAGUGUUUUUGGCGCUGAGGUGUGCAUCUCCACUUGCCUAGAGCUUGUUUACUUCCAUCUAAAAACCCAAACUGUUUCAAGAUUUCUGGUCAUAUCAAAUCUUUUGACGCAUGCAAUAAAGUAUUAAAUAUAGACAAAAAUAAAAACUAAUUGUACAGUUUAGUCAGAAUUGACGAUACAAAUUUUUUGAGCCUGGUUUUAGCUUAUGGUUGGACAAUAAUUACCAUAAACAAACGAAAGUUCUACAGUAUCGUGAAAUUUUUCGAACAAAACAAGGCCCUAGGCCUUGUUUAGAUGUGAAAUUUUUUUGAAUUUCGCUACUGUAGCACUUUCGUUUGUUUGUGGUAAAUAUUAUCUAAUUAUAGACUAAUUAUGGUCAAAAGAUUCGUCUCGCGAUUUACAAUCAAAUUGUGUGAUUAGUUUUUGUUUUCGUUAUAUUUAAUGCUUUGUGUAUGUACCAUAAGAUUUGAUGUGACAGUGAAUUUUAAAAACUUUUUAGAUUUCGAAGCGAACUAAACAAGACCAUAGCAGAAGAGCUGAAUUUGGAAGGGCAGAGGCACGAGGCCUUGGGGCCCUCUGCUCCGUUUGUUAUCACCUGUUGGGAUAUGCAUCGCUUUGUAGCGACGCGGUGACCAUUAGCCGUAUAUAUGCAUCGUUUUCUAGUGCCCGAUACAUAUGCAUGCUAUAAAGAAAGUGCUAUAACAUAUGUUUUCAGUUUUCACUCUCUUUUUUCUUCCACAACUAAGCAACUGGUUGAACACCUUUCUUUUAUUUGGAACCCAAAGUGACUCACCACCUUGCAUUGCCCACCCCUAGCAAGCUACAUAUAUACUCGUUUCGUCCUAAAAAAAGGUAAUUUUAAGUUUGAGACAAGUGAAACCUUUUAAGUUUAAUUAAAUUUAUAGAAAAUAAUAUCAACAUUUAUGUCUCCAAAUAGUUUGGGUUGAGGUAAAGCUACUUCAUGGCAUGUAGUCAUCAAUGUAUGGAAGAUCAACACGGACUAUUUUACUUCUUGGAAUAUGUAAGAGCAACUCUAAGAGCUUGGCUCUUCUUAUUAUGAAUGCUAUUUUAGAAUUUGUAUAGUAAAAAAGUAGGCUUCAACAAAUAUGUUAUCUGAUUUUGUAAAAUAGAAAGUUGGCUAUCCCUUAAUUUUCGGUGGCUGUAUAUAGCCAACGAUUAACACUGGCUAUAUAUCUAAUUUUGUAAAAUAGCAAGACUGUUGUGAACUUUUUUUUAAGAAGCUUUCUAUUUUACAAAAUGGCUAAACAAUAAAAUUUAACUACUAAUUUUAACCAAGCUCUUGGUGUUACUCUAAUAAGAUAAAGUUUUCAAAAUUAACUAUCCUUUCCACCACUUUUUUAUUUCAUACGGAUAGCCAGCUGCUCUAAAGAUUAGAUCAGGAGGUAGGCUAGAUAGGGGUGUGUGAUUCCCUCCUAGGCUAGUUUUUCAACAAAGUGAGAGAAUGUUAGAAGGAAGGCUAAUAUGAUAAUGAAUCCAUGGUUGAUUUGAAGUGAAGCUUGUGCCGCGCCGAAACAGCUAUUGAAACAGAAUAAUUUCAGCGGAUAAUUCAGCAAAUAAAGGCGAACAUAUAAUAAAUUAAAGCACAGAAGACGAAGAAGUGCCGAACAAUGACAGAUCUCAACCACCUGGGUGAACAUAGUUCCUCGCCCAUUUCUACAAUCCAAGCUUAUCUAGCACGGCGGCGGCGCAAUUCAUACACAGCCACAUGAUUACCCCUGCGAAGGAACACCCGGCCAGAAACCCUAGCAGCGCCGGCGCGAGCAGCUUGAACCACACAGGUAUCGGGCGGUCGGACGGCGGAUUAGUGACGUUGGUGGGCUCCAUCGUCCACGGCCCCGGCGCCGGCGCUGGGGCAAGGGUCGGGGCGCCGUCCCCGCCGAGAGACGAGCGCGCGUCCACGACGCGCAGGACCAUCCGCUGCCCCGCCUCGCAGCGCGCCGGCGCGCCGCUGAUGAAAUAGAAGAGCCCCGGGUGGGCGAGCUUCAACCGGGUGUCGCCACCGUCCGCGAACCGGCGCGCCGGCGGGCUCGCCGCGCUGCACCGCUUGUAGUCGCGCCAGCGCACAAGCAGCACCGAGUCGUUGGAGCGCUUGAAAUCUGGACACGCGCCGUACGUACGUGUGUCAAAAGACUCAUCAAAGCUCAAAAGUGGCGCGCGCGCACACACACACAGCAAGAAGCCAAGAACCAGCAGAAUUGAUCGUUUGAUCGAUCCUAGUCGCCGUUGCGUGCUCGAUCGGAGUGCCGGAGCUUACCCAGGACGUCGCCGACGUAGAAGCGGUGCCUCAUGGCCCACUUGCUGAGCGUCUUGUGGGUGCCGCCGUUGCUCGCCGGAGCGGUCCGCCACUCGUCGCCGACGAAGUACACUGCCGGUGGACGUGACGCCGACGCCGACGACGCGGAGGCGGCGAGGAGGAGGAGGAGGAGGACGCCGAAGGAAUAGGCUGUCAACAGGACGGUGAAGCGGAGGCCGGCCAUUGACGUGUGUGCAUAGAUCGGGCGCGCACGAUCUCGCUUGCAGUCGCAGAAUGGGGCUUUGCUGCUGGCUGAGGCGCCCUGGCGACCUGGCGUGUCGAUCGGCCGCCGCUGCACUGCAAAGAGAGGGUUUUCCACUACUUUUCCGUCUCUGUCGGCUGGCCGGAAGAUCUUCUGUGCAGGGACGGCCCGUGUACUCCUACGCCCCUGAGCUGCGCACAGCGUUCAUGGACAGGACACAGCAUCCGAGUGCGCGUCCAGCCGUCCACCUUACAUGUGUGACUUGCCUUUGAGACUUGAGAGAAUGAGAGUAUACUGUACUAGCUAGUCAGUCGACCUCCUUUUGUGCACCUGCUUUGCGCUUCUCAUGUGAAAUUUGAGCCAGUAAACAUUUUCAGAUAGAGUGCAGUUUGCAGAAUUGCAUUACAGUUGCAACUUGCAAGCACUGUCUGGUCGCUGCUGGUCGGGAGCUAGCACCUCUUUCCAUAAUAAAUGGUGUACUGAUCACGUAGUAUACUAGUAUACACCGCACAGCAGCACACGAUGUCAACACUAAGAAGUACGUCCAUCUGUCCAUCGUAUACCCACUAAUAACCCACAUAUUUUUGUAUAUUUAAUUAAUAUUUUUUAAUUAAUAUUAAGCGAUGUUACGAGCACUCACGGAUGCAACUUGAUUAAUUUUGAUUAUCGCCAUAUUUUGAUGUAAUAAGUGGAAAGUUGUAUGUAAAUGUCAGUGACCGAGUUUUUUUUUUUUUUUUUGCUUUGCUUUGCUUGUGGCCCCCUGUCGUGCUAUACUGCUACCUAGUUCCAAUCAUGUCGCAGCUAGCGCAGUGCCAUACUGCUUUGUGGCGACACUACCACGGAGAAAGGUGUGCAUAGUGUUGCAAAUGCUUUUCUGUCCCGUAAAACGGCGAAAUGCAUGUAAUUCGUUGUCACCCAAACAUUGAUCAAGGCCGGCAGCUAUCCAAGCGUCGUUUAUUAUAAUUUACACAUACUUUGAAAACACUGCUGAACAGCUGGUAGAUUCGGCUGAUAAGUUCAAACGAACACUUGUUUUUGUUUUCUUUUCUUUGCGAACACUUCGGCCAACAUCACUAGUGCACACUGUGAUGAACUGAUGAUGUAGAAGGAAAUGGCGCUCGCAAUUCAAUUCAGUAACAAGAAGCGACAGAUACAAAACCCCACAAGUGUUCGCUGUUCAUAGAAAUGUAGUAUAGGUCAGCAUCUAGCAGAAGCAUGGCAUACAGUACCAGAGACGCAAGAACUUGCGUUCAUCGACUAUAAAGCGAGCUAGUACUAACUGCUGGGUCAAUAGCUGCAACAGAUAUGAUGGUAAGCAACUGACAUGAUGCACCGAUCGAUCGAAGAUAUAUAAAAAACAACCACACACAUCUGUAGAGAGUAGAGUCUUGUUAAUCUGCGACGACGAAUCACCAAUGCAACACGUACAUAUAGGAGCUGAGAGGUGUAAACUACAGUUAUAAAAACCCACUAGCUAGCUAGAGAGACUAGAUCAAAAGACAGUCAUGCAUGCAUGCUGUGUACAAGACUAGAAUGAACUAGAAAUUUAGAACAGACUAACGCCGCCUGCAGCCAACAAGUUGAAGCAUAUAGCUCUAUAUAUCUAGCAUAUGCAUGGUGACUAUGCAUACUUGCAUAGCGCGCGCGUAGCCCACCAGGGUCCGCGGCGUGGCCGUCGCCGCAGCCCACCGAUGGACGGAUCCACCGCCAGCCCGGCGUCCAGGUCGUCCAGCGGCUGCGCCUCCUCGUCGCCCGCUUCGCCCUCCCCCGAGCGGCCCUGGCAGCAGAGGAGGAGGACGAGCAGCGAGACGACCCAGACAACGGCCAGGGCCACGCAGAGCACGACGGGCCACGGCGGCCACACGCCGCCGCCGCCGGUGGCGAGGUCGUCGACGUCGAGGGCCCGUGGCAUGGCUAGCUAGCGCAGAGGCAGAGGCAGAGGCACAGCGGACGGAGAGAGACCUGCAGGGGAAGGAAACCGGGAGUGACUGAGAGUGAGAGUGCAGUGGUGGGAGUGGCAGUGAGUGUCUGACGAGUGAGCAGAAACCGGCAAUGUGGCCUCUUUUGUGUGGAGCUGGGCAGUGAUGAGCACCCCUUGUGUUUUUGGGGCAUGCAUGUGAAUAUGUGACCACGUACGUUGCGCGUUGCUAAAUAAAACAUGGUAGCUUUGCAGUCUUGCAGCCAGUGCCGUGUGGGUGCCAUUGCCAUAUAUAGCCACGGAGGAAGUUAUGAUGAAGCUGCCGAGCGACCUGCUGGUAAAGAUCGUCGUGACAAGUGAUAGGACUAAAGGGGCCUGAAAGACCUAGCUAGCUACUCCGUAGCUUUUUCUUCGGCGUGAUAUUCCCAACCUCACGACGACAGCUAUGCAUUC
rnacentral:lncRNA from 1 species